UCAUCGAAAGAUCGGGACACCUUGCCUCUAUCAAGUGGUAUCAGUUUUCAGGUUGCUCGGUGAGAUUUUACAGUUUUUCAUAGUUUAGAUCGCAUCUGUCAUUCAUACCUACAGUCCAUGAAAAAGCCAUAAAAAGUUAGAUCUGUUUAUCAUUUAUCCAAGCCAGUCUGAGCCUUUGCAAUUUUCUAUUCAUUGCUUGCAUAGUUGAAUUAUCGGUUGCAUCGUCGUGUUAGUUGCUGGUCUUAGUGUCUAGUUCCUUUAGAGUUUCGAGUUCUGUUCACAUUAGUCACGCUGCCGCUGCAUCAUUAUCCCUUCCGCUGUCCACCAUCCCAUCCAUUAAAUUCCAUCACGUGCUACGCACUGUUCAUUGUCAUAAUCAUAGUUGUGGUCAUUCACAUCUUCGCCUGAUCCAAUCUGCAUCUUAUCUAGUUUGUCUUGGAAAGAGGGAGAAAAAAAAGAUAGAGGAAAAAAAAGAGAGGAAAAAAAAAGAAAAAGAGAGAGAAGAAAAAGAAAAAAAAAGCGUGAGAAAAAAAAGAGAGAAGAAAAAAAAAUCGGAUCUAUCUAGAAUCAAUCUCGUACCUGAAUUCGGAUUGGAAUCUGUUUUGCGCACUGUUCAGUAAAAACAGGUGUAUCUUCCUCAUACGAAGUCCGUUUUGGCUCCGUGAGUACUCAAAUUGAAGCUAGCGACGAGCCGCAUCUAAAUAGUUGCAGAAGCUAGUUCAAUAUUUGACACCUCAAAAUCGGCUUCUAAAUAGGUCUUUUUGCCCUCUGAAGUUCGUGAACACAGCUUGUUCCAAUUUUUCAGGCCAGUUUUAGAAUUCUUUGACUCCUCAUAUCAACUCGGAAUUGAGUGAUUCUUUUUGCAUUGGAAAGCCUGAGUUAGUAGCAUUCUUUGAAAGAAUUUCUCAGAAAAUUGGCUCAAACUUUUCAAGAGGAAAGUUGGAGAGAGAGUUGUUGUAUAUCCUGUUUGGCAGUUAUUUUUUAUCAUUAUCUUUACUGCCGUUGUGAUCUUCACUUAUAUCUUGCUGUCCAGAACUACUUAGUAUCCUUCAUUGAUGCUAGUUGUGCUACGCCGUGACCUCAUUAGUGUUCUAGGCUCGCGUCUCUGGUCCGGUCUAGCCUAGGACCAGCACAGUACCGUCGUUGAGCGUUUAUUCAACAUUGCAUCUUUGAAUUGAUUAUUGCUAAUCUUUUGCUACCAUAUAUAGCCAACCUAGCUUCACAUAUUUCUACACCGUGUAUACGUACGCUCCCCUGGCAAUCGCUUCACUCAAUAUUCGGAGUUAUUUGACACCGCUGGUUGCCGAUCACCGCCUGCUGCAUGGUAAGAACUUGUAAGGCAUUGAUAUUUGCUUUACUGUGAGCGUUUUACCACCACAUCCUAGUAGUUAUAGGAAUAUUAUUUUUGGAUUUUGUUUCUUGUUCUACUAAUCAUGACAGGAUCCAGAGUCAAUUCAUGGGCUUUGUCGAUCGCAGGAGACAUGCCACCACCUAUGCAAAUAUCACAACCGUCAUGAGAGGUGCACAAACAUCCAAAUGCACAUGAUCAGGUUAAUGUAUCUAUACCACCAUUUAAUGGCCGUUUUAGACCUGCUUUAUAUAUUGAAUGGGAGUUCGACAUAAAAAAUAUAUUUGCUUCCCAUAAUUUCGAUGAACAUAAAAAGGUUCAGGUUGCGGUUGGUUCUUUCACUGGUUAUGCUUUGGUUUGGUGGAGUGAAUAUUGUCGGUUACACCCUGAUUAUAUACCUACUACUUGGGAUGAUUUGAAACUUGCCAUGCGACAUACUUUCGUCCCUGCUUAUUAUACUCGUGACAUGAUUAAGAAGUUGCAACACUUAACACAAGGUAGUGAAACUGUAACAAGAUAUUAUGAUAAUUUACAAACUACCUUGUUGCAUUCCUCUUUAGAAGAAAGUGAAGAUGAUUUUAUGGAUAGAUUUUGGGGAGGAUUAAACCGUGAUAUUCAAGAGAUACUAAUUCAUGAAGAGUGUUAUCAUAUGGACCAUUUGUUUCAUCUUGCUUGCAAAGCUGAACAGGAAAUAAAACGACGUGUUGGCCACGAGGAGAACAAGCGCACGGUGCACAUUCCAAGAGUUGAUACGAUUGUUCCUUCAACUACUAGGCAUACUAUGACAACCACAUUCGUUGUUGUCAGGACUACAUCACCUCCACCAUGUGACACAUCGCCCCCGAGAGUGGCUACAUCAUCUGAGUUGAUCAUAAGAGGUAAUGACAAAGGUACUGAUCUUCCAUCUCUACAUGAGAAUGAUGAAUGCCUUGUCAAUUUGAAUGCACCAUCUGAUGAGCUACCCACUACUUUGAUCACACCACCUAUUUUAGAGGACUAUGUUGAUAAUUUGACUUUGCCAUGUGAUCAAACAACUGAAAUACCAACAAUUUUGAGUGCACCCAUUGAAUUAACUAUUGGUGCAAAAGAACCAAUGUUUAAUCAUUUUGAUAUGACCUCUAAUCUUGGUGAUGAUUCUGUGUUGAAUGACUUAUUGCAUGUUUGCUUAUUUAAGCAUGUUGUAGCAUGUAAAUUUGAUGCAAGUAAGGUUUAUUCAUCAAUGUUGGGAUGGUUUAAUGAUGAACAUUGUCAAUCUUUUGAAAUGAAUAAGAGCUUCACUUAUAUGUGCAAACUGAGUUGCAAUAUUUUCAUGCCUUCUACUUCUUGUGCUAAUUUUUUGGAUUUCGAUUUUAUGAACUAUGCAAGUUACUCAUCUAUUCAUGUGUCAUAUAUGCAAAAAUCAAGGGAAGUAAAAAUGGAUGACAUAUACAUAUACAACAUGUACACCUUGUCUCUUUUGUUAGCCACAUUUCAGAUUAAGCAACGCCGAGGACGGCUUUAUUUUCAAGAAGGGGAGGAUGAUGAGGACAUGACUACCUUGGAUAUGACCAAAAAUAUUGCAUAUAUGCAUAUUUGUCAGGUGAUUUCUAGUGCAAACUAUUCAAUAAUCUAUUUAUGUUAUCCAGAACAAAAAUACUUCACACACUUUUGUGUUUUGUCUAAUUGCAGGUGUAUGGGACAUUUGUACAAUCCACAUAUGAAGAUAAGGAAGAAAGAGAUGUUUAUUUGCUGUCCAAAAAGUUCUCUCACGUCACUUUUGGCCCAAGAGAAGAUAGAGUCCAAGUCUCUCACGUUCUGGAUUCAGAUUCGGACUGCACAGACAUACCUGACUCAAAACGCAUACAAGUUUUUCAUACGGACUCCGAAUUGGGUGAUUCUUUUUUUGUUGGAAACUAGAUUUCGUGCACUUUCCAACCCAAUCGGAAUCACCUUCAAAUUCGUCCGGAGCGUUGAGUUGUGGACGAAACAAUCUGAUGCUGCAGCAGAAUCCGAGUCAAACUACAAGUCCAAAGGUGUUACAUCACCUCCACUUGGGCCCAUUGGCCUUGUACGACCUAGAUUUAGUUUUAGGCUGCCUUGGGACGUCCUCCCACCUCCUUGGCCGCCACCCCUUGCUCCUAUAUAAGUAGAUCCAUCUAGUAGCUUUUCCUUGGGAUUUGUUUACUUAAAAGUUAGCCAUUGCAACUUCGUGUACUUCGUUUGUGUCCAACGACCAGACCAAGACCGCUUCCGGAUCCCCACCAUUAUCAAUACUUCAUAUAUAUUCGCAAUAUUCACAUUGCUUUAUCAUAUUCUUGCUCGUUCUUCGAUUGCUUGCAGGAAUAGACUUUCGUGGUCAGGUUGAUCGUGCUCCAGUGUGGUCAAUAACCUCUCGGAGUUGGUUUAGCGAUUGCUAAGGCGCAACGUCGUGCACGUUUGUAGUCGGAUCGUCAAAGUCGUCUCCACCAAAUCGAUAGUUAUCAUCUCAUCGAAAGAUCGGGACACCUUGCCUCUAUCACUCGUGGUCAGGUUGAUCGUGCUCCGGCGUGGUUAAUAACCUCUCGGAGUUGGUUUAGCGAUUGCUAAGGCGCGACGUCCUCGCACGUUCGUAGUCGGAUUGUCAAAGUCGACUUCCACCAAAGCGAUAUCCAUCAUCUCAUCGAAAGACGGGACACCUUUGCCUCUAUCAAGUGGUAUCAGAUUUCCAGGUUGCUCGGUGAGAUUUUACAGUUUUUCGUAGUUUAGAUCGAGUCUGUUCUUCAUACCUACAGUCCACGAAAAAGCCACAAAAAAAAUUAGGGUUAGUUCAUCAUAUCCGAACCAAUCUGAGCCUUUGCAUAAUCUUUUUAGGGUUUUGCUUUGUUGAAUUUGCGGUUGCAUCGUCGUGUCUAGUUGCUGGUCUUAGAGUCUAGUCUUUUAGAGUUUCGAGUUCUGGUCAUAAGUUGUCACGCCGCCGCCGCACCAUCAUCAUCGCCCCUGCCAUCUACCACCACCGCUUAUCCGCCACCGCUCCGAAUCCGUAUCCAUAUACCACCACCAGUCCAUGUCCAUAUACCACCACCGAUCCAUAUCCAUAUACUACCACCGCUACCACCACCGCUGCCAUAUACCACCACCAUAUAUCCACCACCAAUCCGAGUUCCUUGCAUAUUAGGUUUGUUUUCGAGAUCCAUCUAGAUUCCGAUUCGUGUUUCCUUGCCGGAGUCGGGUAGCCACGCUCCGUUUAGGCCCAAAAUUUUUCGAAAACGCAUUUUUCGAAAAAAUUUCUGGCUAUCCUAUUUUUAGGUGUUUCUGAGUGUUUUGAGACAGGUGCCAUUAUAGGAAGUUCUUUUUGACCCGUUUCCAGUUUUUGGGUCCGGGCAGUCGAAAAAAAAAUUGGUGGAAAAAAUUUCGUGCCCAUCCUGUCCGUUUGAGCUAGGAAGAGUUUUGAGACACUCGCCAUUAUAGUGAUUUUUCGCAAAAAAAAAGCAGCGCAAAAAAAAGAAAGAGCGCAAAAAAAAGAGCGAAAAAAAAUUCAGAGUGUGCUUUUCCCUUGUUUACGUGCCGCGCCGUGAUUUUGUUGGUGUUCUAGGCUCGCGUCUCUAGCACAGUCUAGCCUAGGACCAGCACAGUACCGUCGUUGAGCAUUUAUUCAACUUUGCAUCUCUGAAUUGAUUAUUGCUGACCCUUUUUGCUACCAUACUAUAAGCCUUCCCAGCUCCACAUACAUCUACGUCGUGUGUUUGACUCUCCCUGGUAAUCGCUCUAUCCAAGCUUUGAGAGUUUUUGACUACAACGGUUGCCGAUCACCGCUUGCUGCUGGGUAAGAACUGGUAAGAAUUUGAGUUUUGCUUGACGGAUUUGUGACACCCACCACCACCACUUGUUCGUAGUCUGUAGGAUCAUAUUCUUGUGUGUUUCUAUUGCUGCUAACCAUGCCAGGAUCACAAGCCGACGAGAUUGACUGGGAGAAUUUAUCGAACAAGGAGCUUCAUGAUAAGUUUCAGCAAAUGAUGACUGAACAGGUGCAAGAUGUGCUGAACAAUUUUGAAGAGGCCAUGGAGAAGAUCACUGGCCUUGAGAAGACGUUCGAAACAAAGCUCGAUAACAGAUUUAAUGAAUUGCUCGCGCGUCUUCCACCACCACCACCCGCUGCACCUAACGCACCUCUCCAACAACAACAACAACGACUGCCUCCACGUCGCGAAAUAGACCUUUGCCGAGCGAGCCGUGUUCCUCUUGCGUUUGGCCAAACUGUUGAUGCUGCUGUUGAUACUUCUGUGGCUCCUGCUACUGCUGUUGCUGGUACCCAGGAGGAUGAUGAGUAUGCGGGCGAUUAUGAGGAUGAGGUUGAUCAAAAUCAGAUCUACGAGCAGCCACCAGCACCACCACCAGCAGGUCGACCUCAGGUAUAUAUUCGUAAUGGUAGGCCUGCACCACCACCUCAGGUACGAGAUGAUGUCCAUAUUCCUAAACUGAAAUUGAAUAUUCCACCAUUUGAGGGUAGAUAUGUUCCUGAUAUAUAUCUUACUUGGGAGUUAGAAACUGAACAACGAUUUACAUGUUUACAAUAUCCUGAGGAGAGACGAGUUGCUGCUGCUGUUUGUGCUUUCACUAGUUUUGCAUGUGUAUGGUGGUCUGAACAUUGUAGAUUAUAUCCUAUUCCAACUACUUGGGCUGCUUUGAAAACUGCUAUGCGUACGCGUUGGGUUCCACCAUAUUAUCAAUGUGAAUUGCUUCAAAAAUUGCAGCGUUUAAGACAAGGAAAAAAUUCUGUAGAAGAAUAUUAUCAGGAAUUACAAACUGGCAUGAUUAGAUGUGGUAUUGUUGAGGAGAAUGAAGCUAUGCUUGCACGUUUUCUGGGUGGAUUAAAUAGAGAGAUUCAGACCAUUCUAGACUAUAAGGAGUAUACUAAUAUCACUUGUUUAUUCCAUCUUGCUUGUAAAGCUGAACGUGAAGUGCAGGAUCGACAAGCAUUGGGGCGAACUAACUUUUCUGCAGGCCGAUCUUCAUCAUGGACACCACGUGCAUCUUCUACUUCAACUGCACCAGCACCUCCAUCCGGUGCCACCUCCAGCCGUGAUACAAGAAAACAGGCACAACCACCAUUAUCUGCCAAGAGCGCACCUGCGGGGCCUGCACAACGUUCUUCUUCUUCCAUGGCAUCAACAGGGCACACAAGUGAUAUUAUUUGUCGUCGUUGUAAGGGAGGAGGUCAUUAUGCGAGGGAAUGCAAAUCUCCGCGUGUGAUGAUUGCUACUGCGGAUGGUGGAUACGAGUCCGCUAGUGACUAUGAUGAGGAGACAUUGGCUCUUAUUACACGUGAAGAACAUGGUGGAGAUGAUUCUGAUCAUGAGACGCAAUACAUGGCUCCUAAAGACGCUGACAGGUAUGAAUGUUUAGUUGCUCAACGUGUUUUGAGUGUGCAGGUCACACAAGCUGAGCAAAAUCAGAGGCACAAUUUGUUCCAUACCAAGGGAGUUGUGAAGGAACGUUCUGUGCGCGUCAUAAUAGACGGAGGGAGCUGCAACAACUUGGCUAGCAUGGAGAUGGUGGAGAAGCUUUCUCUCACCACAAGACCACAUCCACAUCCUUACUACAUCCAAUGGUUCAACAACAGUGGCAAGGUUAAGGUAACACGUACUGUUCGUGUGCAUUUUAGUAUCUCUACAUAUGCUGAUUAUGUUGAUUGUGAUGUGGUACCUAUGCAAGCAUGUUCCUUAUUACUUGGUAGACCAUGGCAAUUUGAUAAAAAUUCUGUACACCAUGGUAGAAACAAUCACUAUACUCUUGUUCAUAAGGAUAAAAAUAUUACUUUGCUUCCUAUGACUCCUGAUUCCAUUUUGAAAGAUGAUAUUAAUAGAGCUAAUAAAGCACAACAGGAGAAGAAUAAGAGUGAAAAUCAGAUUGUGGCAAAAGAAUUUGAGCAACAAAUAAAGCCUAAUAAUAAACCAUCUAGUGUUGCUUCUGAAAUUAAAUUGAAAAGUGCAUGUUUAUUUGCCACCAAAUCUGAUAUUGAUGAGCUAGAUUUUAGCAAAUCUGUUUGCUAUGCUUUUGUGUGCAAAGAGACAUUAUUUUCAUUCGAGGACGUGCCUUCCUCUUUGCCUCCUGCUGUCACUAACAUUUUGCACGAGUUCGCUGACGUUUUUCCACAAGACGUGCCACCGGGAUUACCGCCUAUUCGAGGGAUUGAGCAUCAGAUUGACUUAAUUCCCGGUGCUUCACUGCCAAACCGUGCACCAUACCGUACCAAUCCAGAGGAGACGAAGGAGAUUAUGCGUCAAGUACAAGAGCUUCUCGACAAAGGUUAUAUACGUGAAUCCCUUAGUCCUUGUGCUGUUCCUAUUAUUCUAGUGCCGAAAAAGGAUGGUACAUCACGUAUGUGUGUUGAUUGUAGAGGCAUUAAUAAUAUUACUAUUCGUUAUCGUCAUCCUAUUCCUAGGCUAGAUGAUAUGCUUGAUGAAUUGAGUGGCUCUACAAUAUUCUCCAAAGUUGAUUUGCGUAGUGGCUACCAUCAAAUUCGUAUGAAAUUGGGAGAUGAAUGGAAAACAGCAUUUAAAACUAAGUUUGGUUUAUAUGAGUGGUUAGUCAUGCCUUUUGGGUUAACUAAUGCACCUAGUACUUUCAUGAGAUUAAUGAACGAAGUUUUACGUGCUUUCAUUGGACGAUUUGUGGUAGUUUACUUUGAUGACAUAUUGAUUUAUAGCAAAUCUUUGGAAGAACAUUUGGAACAUUUACGUGUUGUUUUUAUUGCUCUACGUGAUGCACGUUUGUUUGGUAACCUUCGGAAGUGCACCUUUUGCACCGACCGAGUAUCUUUUCUUGGCUAUGUUGUUGCUCCACAGGGAAUUGAAGUUGAUAAAGCCAAGAUUGAAGCUAUUGAGAGUUGGCCGCAGCCCAAAACGGUCACACAAGUGAGGAGUUUUCUUGGCCUCGCUGGAUUCUAUAGGCGUUUUGUGAGAGAUUUCAGCACCAUUGCUGCACCUCUCAAUGAGCUUACAAAGAAAGAUGUGCCUUUUCUUUGGGGUACCGCACAGGAAGAAGCCUUCACGGUAUUGAAAGAUAAGUUGACACAUGCUCCUUUACUCCAACUUCCUGAUUUUAAUAAGACUUUUGAGCUUGAAUGUGAUGCUAGUGGAAUUGGAUUAGGAGGUGUGUUAUUAGAAGAUGGCAAACCUGUUGCAACUUUUCUGAAAAAUUGAGUGGGCCUAGUCUGAAUUAUUCUACUUAUGAUAAAGAAUUAUAUGCUCUUGUUCGGACUUUAGAAACAUGGCAACAUUAUUUAUGGCCCAAAGAAUUUGUUAUACAUUCUGAUCAUGAAUCUUUGAAACAUAUUAAAAGUCAAGCUAAACUGAAUCGUAGACAUGCUAAAUGGGUUGAAUUCAUUGAGACUUUCCCUUAUGUCAUUAAACACAAGAAGGGAAAAGAAAAUGUUAUUGCUGAUGCAUUGUCUCGUCGCUAUACUAUGCUUUCACAACUUGACUUCAAAAUAUUUGGUUUGGAGACCAUCAAAGAUCAAUAUGUGCAUGAUGCUGAUUUUAAAGAUGUAAUGCAGAAUUGUAAAGAAGGAAGAAUGUGGAACAAGUUUGUCGUUAACGAUGGAUUUGUGUUUCGUGCUAACAAGCUAUGCAUUCCAGCUAGCUCCGUUCGUCUUUUGUUGUUGCAGGAAGCGCAUGGAGGAGGAUUAAUGGGACACUUUGGCGUGAAGAAGACGGAGGACGUACUUGCUACACAUUUCUUUUGGCCAAAGAUGAGACGGGAUGUUGAGCGUUUUAUUGCUCGCUGCACUACAUGUCAAAAAGCUAAGUCACGACUCAAUCCUUAUGGUUUAUAUAUGCCUUUGCCUGUACCUAGUGUUCCUUGGGAGGAUAUAUCUAUGGACUUUGUUUUAGGUUUACCUCGAACAAAGAAGGGGAGGGAUAGCAUAUUUGUUGUCGUGGAUAGAUUCUCGAAAAUGGCACACUUUAUACCAUGUCAUAAAAGUGAUGAUGCUGUUAAUGUUGCUGAUUUGUUCUUUCGUGAAAUUAUUCGCUUGCAUGGUGUGCCAAAUACUAUUGUUUCAAAUCGUGAUACUAAAUUUCUUAGCCACUUUUGGAGAUGUUUAUGGGCUAAGUUGGGGACUAAACUGCUUUUAGUACUACUUGUCACCCCCAAACUGAUGGCCAAACUGAAGUAGUCAAUAGAACAUUGUCUACUAUGCUUAGGGCUGUUUUGAAGAGUAAUAAGAAAAUGUGGGAGGAAUGCUUGCCUCAUAUUGAAUUUGCUUAUAAUCGUUCAUUGCAUUCUACUACUAAGAUGUGCCCUUUUGAAGUUGUGUAUGGUUUCCUACCUCGUGCACCUAUUGAUUUGUUGCCUCUUCCAUCUUCGGAGAAGGUUAAUUUUGAUGCUAAACAACGUGCUGAAUUGAUUUUAAAAAUGCAUGAGUUAACUAAGGAAAACAUUGAGCGUAUGAAUGCCAAAUAUAAACUUGCUGGAGAUAAGGGUAGAAAACAUGUUGUGUUUGUACCUGGAGAUCUUGUUUGGUUACAUUUGCGUAAGGAUAGAUUUCCUGAUUUGCGCAAAUCAAAGCUCAUGCCACGGGCUGAUGGUCCCUUUAAGGUGUUAGAGAAAAUAAAUGAUAAUGCAUAUGAACUUGAGCUGCCUGCAGAUUUUGGGGUUAGUCCCACUUUUAACAUUGCAGAUUUGAAGCCUUAUUUGGGUGAGGAAGAUGAGUUUCCGUCGAAGACGACUUCAUUUCAAGAAGGGGAGGAUGAUGAGGACAUCAAUACCAUUGUUACACCCACAGGCCCUGCUGCUAUACAUACUGGACCAAUUACUAGAGCUCGCGCACGCCAACUAAAUUACCAGGUACUUUCGUUUCUUGGUAAUGAUUCUAAUGUUCAUGAGAAUAUGAUGCUGCCUAAAUUGGAUACAUUUGUUUUGCUUACGAAUGAAGGGCCUAGCUUGGAGAAGGAUGAACAUUGGAGCAAGAACAAGCAUGGAGAUGAUGGCAUGCGCAAGGGGAACAAGAACGGAGUUACAAGUGAUGAUUUCAGGACUUUGAAGCCACCAUAAUGGAUGCUUGAAGCCUUGGACAAAAUAUACAAGAUGCCACUUCAUAAAUUUCGUCCCGAGGCUAUUUUAGGUGCUGCGUCACCUUAUUAUUGGGCCAGGCCCAUGUAAUUUCGAAAUACAUAAGUAUAGGCUAUUUUUAGAGUCCGUAUGUGUGGGGAAACAAGAGAUAGGGUUGAUUUCGGACCCCUCCACCAAGGGCCACGAAAUUCCCCCCUUUUUCCUCCAUAUAUACAGCCCUUAGGGCAUCGUUUAGACUUUGGGUUUUGUUUAGAUUAAAAGUUCGCCAUAGCUGCAACUUCGCGUACUUCGUUUGUGUUCAACGACCAGACAAAGGCGUCACAGAACCCCACCUUGAUCAAUAAAGCUUUCAUCUUAUAUUCGCAAUAUCCAGAUUGUAAUCUUAGUUUCUUGCUUGUUCUUCGUUUGCUCACAGGAAACAGACCCUCGUGGUCAGGUUGAUCGUGCUCCGGCGUGGUCAAUAACCUCUCGGAGUUGGUUUAGCGAUUGCUAAGGCGCGACGUCCUCGCACGUUUUUAGUCGGAUCGUCAAAGUCGACUUCCACCAAAGCGAUAUCCAUCAUCUCAUCGAAAGACGGGACACCUUUGCCUCUAUCACGGUCUUGGUCUGGUCGUUGGACACAAACGAAGUACACGAAGUUGCGUUGGCUAACUUUUAACUAAACAAAUCCCAAGGAAAAGCUACUAGAUGGAUCUACUUAUAUAGGAGCAAGGGGUGGUGGCCAAGGAGGUGGGAGGACGUCCCAAGGCAGCCUAAAACUAAAUCUAGGUCGUACAAGGCCAAUGGUCCCAAGUGGAGGUGAUGUAACACCUUUGGACUUGUAGUUUGACUCGGAUUCUGCUGCAGCAUCAGAUUGUUUCGUCCACAACUCAACGCUGCGGACGAAUUUGAAGGUGAUUCUAAUUGGGUUGGAAAGUGUACGAAAUCUAGUUUCCAACAAAAAAAGAAUCACCCAAUUCGGAGUCCGUAUGAAAAACUUGUGUGCGUUUUGAGUCAGGUAUGUCUGUGCAGUCCGAAUCUGAAUCUAGAACGUGAGAGACUUGGACUCUAUCUUCUCUGAUGAGGACAUCAAUACAAUUGUUACACCCACAGCCCCUGCUGCUAUACAUACUGGACCAAUUACUAGAGCUCGUGCACGCCAACUAAAUUACCAGGUACUUUCAUUUCUUGGUAAUGAUUCUAAUGUUCAUGAGAAUAUGAUGCUGCCUAAAUUGGAUACAUUUGUUUUGCUUACAAAUGAAGGGCCUAGCUUGGAGAAGGAUGAACAUUGGAGCAAGAACAAGCAUGGAGAUGAUGGCAUGCGCAAGGGAAACAAGAACGGAGUUACAAGUGAUGAUUUCAGGACUUUGAAGCCACCAUAAUGGGUGCAUGAAGCUUUGGACGAAAUAUACAAGAUGCCACUUCAUAAAUUUCGUCCCGAGGCUAUUGUAGGUGCUGCGUCACCUUAUUAUUGGGCCAGGCCCAUGUAAUUUCGAAAUACAUAAGUAUAGGCUAUUUUUAGAGUCCGUAUGUGUGGGGAAACAAGAGAUAGGGUUGAUUUCGGACCCCUCCACCAAGGGCCACGAAAUUCCCCCCCUCUUCCUCCAUAUAUACAGCCCUUAGGGCAUCGUUUAGACUUUGAGUUUUGUUUAGAUUAAAAGUUCGCCAUAGCUGCAACUUCGCGUACUUCGUUUGUGUUCAACGACCAGACAAAGGCGUCACAGAACCCCACCUUGAUCAAUAAAGAUUUCAUCUUAUAUUCGCAAUAUCCAGAUUGCAAUCUCAGUUUCUUGCUUGUUCUUCGUUUGCUCGCAGGAAACAGACCCUCGUGGUCAGGUUGAUCGUGCUCCGGCGUGGUCAAUAACCUCUCGGAGUUGGUUUAGCGAUUGCUAAGGCGCGACGUCCUCGCACGUUCGUAGUCGGAUCGUCAAAGUCGACUUCCACCAAAGCGAUAUCCAUCAUCUCAUCGAAAGACGGGACACCUUUGCCUCUAUCAAGUGGUAUCAGAGUUCCAGGUUGCUCGGUGAGAUUUUACAGUUUUUCGUAGUUUAGAUCGAGUCUGUUCUUCAUACCUACAGUCCACGAAAAAGCCACAAAAAAAUUAGGGUUAGUUCAUCAUAUCCGAACCAAUCUGAGCCUUUGCAUAAUCUUUUUAGGGUUUUGCUUUGUUGAAUUUGCGGUUGCAUCGUCGUGUCUAGUUGCUGGUCUUAGAGUCUAGUCUUUUAGAGUUUCGAGUUCUGGUCAUAAGUUGUCACGCCGCCGCCGCACCAUCAUCAUAACCCGUGCCAUCUACCACCACCGCUUAUCCGCCACCGCUUCGAAUCCGUAUCCAUAUACCACCACAGCUGUCAUAUACCACCACCGCUGCCAUCUACCACCAUAUAUCCACCACCAAUCCGAGUUCUUGUCAUAUUAGGUUUGUUUUCGAGAUCCAUCUAGAUUCCGAUUCGUGUUUCCUUCCCGGAGUAGGUUUCGGAAAAAAAAAGAGUCGGGUAGCCACGCUCCGUUUAGGCCCAAAAUUUUUCGAAAACGCAUUUUUCGAAAAAAUUUCUGGCUAUCCUAUUUUUAGGUGUUUCUGAGUGUUUUGAGACAGGUGCCAUUAUAGGAAGUUUUUUUGAUCCGUUUCUAGUUUUUGGGUCCGGGCAGUCAAAAAAAAAUUGGUCAAAAAAAAUUCCGUGCCCAUCCUGUCAGUUUGAGCUAAGAAGAGUUUUGAGACACUCGCCAUUAUAGUGAUUUUUCGCAAAAAAAAAAGCAGCGCAAAAUAAAAAAAGAGCGCAAAAAAAAAGAGCGAAAACAUUCCAGAGUGUGCUUUUCCCUUGUUUACGUGCCGCGCCGUGAUUUUGUUAGUGUUCUAGGCUCGCGUCUCUAGCACAGUCUAGCCUAGGACCAGCACAGUACCGUCGUUGAGCGUUUAUUCAACUUUGCAUCUCUGAAUUGAUUAUUGCUGACCCUUUUUGCUACCAUAUUAUAAGCCUUCCCAGCUCCACAUACAUCUACGUCGUGCGUUUGACUCUCCCUGGUAAUCGCUCUAUCCAAGCUUUGAGAGUUUUUGACUACAACGGUUGCCGAUCACCGCCUGCUGCUGGGUAAGAACUGGUAAGAAUUUGAGAUUUGCUUGACGGAUUUGUGACACCCACCACCACCACUUGUUCGUAGUCUGUAGGAUCAUAUUCUUGUGUGUUUCUAUUGCUGCUAACCAUGCCAGGAUCACAAGCCGACGAGAUUGACUGGGAGAAUUUAUCGAACAAGGAGCUUCAUGAUAAGUUUCAGCAAAUGAUGACUGAACAGGUGCAAGAUGUACUGAACAAUUUUGAAGAGGCCAUGGAGAAGAUCACUGGCUUUGAGAAGACGUUCGAAACAAAGCUCGAUAACAAGUUUAAUGAAUUGCUCGCGCGUCUUCCACCACCACCACCCGCUGCAGCUAACGCACCUCUCCAACAACAACAACAACAACAACAACGACUACCUCCACGUCGCGAAGCAGACCUCCGCCGAGCAAGCCGUGUUCCUCUUGCGUUUGGCCAAACUGUUGGUGCUGCUGUUGAUACUUCUGUGGCUCCUGCUGCUGAUGCGGAGGAGGAUGAUUAUGUGGGAGACUAUGAGGAUGAGGUUGAUCAAAAUCAACACUACGUGCAGCCACCUGUACCACCACCAGCAGGUCGACCUCAGGUAUAUAUUCGUAAUGGUAGGCCUGCACCACCACCUCAGGUACGAGAUGAUGUCCAUAUUCCUAAACUGAAAUUGAAUAUUCCACCAUUUGAGGGUAGAUAUGUUCCUGAUAUAUAUCUUACUUGGGAGUUAGAAACUGAACAACGAUUUACAUGUUUACAAUAUCCUGAGGAGAGACGAGUUGCUGCUGCCGUUUGUGCUUUCACUAGUUUUGCAUGUGUAUGGUGGUCUGAACAUUGUAGAUUAUAUCCUAUUCCAACUACUUGGGCUGCUUUCAAAACUGCUAUGCGUACGCGUUGGGUUCCACCAUAUUAUCAACGUGAAUUGCUUCAAAAAUUGCAGCGUUUAAGACAAGGGAAAAAUUCUGUAGAAGAAUAUUAUCAGGAAUUACAAACUGGCAUGAUUAGAUGUGGUAUUGUUGAGGAGAAUGAAGCUAUGCUUGCACGUUUUCUGGGUGGAUUAAAUAGAGAGAUUCAGACCAUUCUAGACUAUAAGGAGUAUACUAAUAUCACUCGUUUAUUCCAUCUUGCUUGUAAAGCUGAACGUGAAGUGCAGGAUCGACAAGCAUUGGGGCGAACUAACUUUUCUGCAGGCCGACCUUCAUCAUGGACACCACGUGCAUCUUCUACUUCAACAGCACCAGCACCUCCAUCCGGUGCCACCUCCAGCCGUGAUACCAGAAAACAGGCACAACCACCAUUAUCUGCCAAGAGCGCACCUGCGGGGCCUGCACAGCGUUCUUCUUCUUCCAUGGCAUCAACAGGGCACACAAGUGAUAUUAUUUGUCGUCGUUGUAAGGGAGGAGGUCAUUAUGCGAGAGAAUGCAAAUCUCCGCGUGUGAUGAUUGCUACCGCGGAUGGUGGAUAUGAGUCCGCUAGUGACUAUGAUGAGGAGACUUUGGCUCUUAUUACACGUGAAGAACAUGGUGGAGAUGAUUCUGAUCAUGAGACGCAAUACAUGGCUCCUGAAGACGCUGACAUGUAUGAAUGUUUAGUUGCUCAACGUGUUUUGAGUGUGCAGGUCACACAAGCUGAGCAAAAUCAGAGGCACAAUUUGUUCCAUACCAAGGGAGUUGUGAAGGAACGUUCUGUGCGCGUCAUAAUAGACGGAGGGAGCUGCAACAACUUGGCUAGCAUGGAUAUGGUGGAGAAGCUUUCCCUCACCACAAGACCACAUCCACAUCCUUACUACAUCCAAUGGUUCAACAACAGCGGCAAGGUUAAGGUAACACGUAUUGUUCGUGUGCAUUUUAGUAUCUCUACAUAUGCUGAUUAUGUUGAUUGUGAUGUGGUACCUAUGCAAGCAUGUUCCUUAUUACUUGGUAGACCAUGGCAAUUUGAUAAAAAUUCUGUACACCAUGGUAGAAACAAUCACUAUACUCUUGUUCAUAAGGAUAAAAAUAUUACUUUGCUUCCUAUGACUCCUGAUUCCAUUUUGAAAGAUGAUAUUAAUAGAGCUAAUAAAGCAAAACAGGAGACGAAUAAGAGUGAAAAUCAGAUUGUGGCAAAAGAAUUUGAGCAACAAAUGAAGCCUAAUAAUAAACCAUCUAGUGUUGCUUCUGAAAUUAAAUUGAAAAGUGCAUGUUUAUUUGCCACCAAAUCUGAUAUUGAUGAGCUAGAUUUCAGCAAAUCUGUUUGCUAUGCUUUUGUGUUCAAAGAGGCAUUAUUUUCAUUCGAGGACGUGCCUUCCUCUUUGCCUCCUGCUGUCACUAACAUUUUGCAGGAGUUCGCUGACGUCUUUCCACAAGACGUGCCACCGGGAUUACCGCCUAUUCGAGGGAUUGAGCAUCAGAUUGACUUAAUUCCCGGUGCUUCACUGCCAAACCGUGCACCAUACCGUACCAAUCCAGAGGAGACGAAGGAGAUUAUGCGUCAAGUACAAGAGCUUCUCGACAAAGGUUAUAUACGCGAAUCCCUUAGUCCUUGUGCUGUUCCUAUUAUUCUAGUGCCCAAAAAGGAUGGUACAUCACGUAUGUGUGUUGAUUGUAGAGGCAUUAAUAAUAUUACUAUUCGUUAUCGUCAUCCUAUUCCUAGGCUAGAUGAUAUGCUUGAUGAAUUGAGUGGCUCUACAAUAUUCUCCAAAGUUGAUUUGCAUAGUGGAUACCAUCAAAUUCGUAUGAAAAUGAGAGAUGAAUGGAAAACAGCAUUCAAAACUAAGUUUGGAUUAUAUGAGUGGUUAGUCAUGCCUUUUGGGUUACCUAAUGCACCUAGUACUUUCAUGAGAUUAAUGAACGAAGUUUUACGUGCUUUCAUUGGACGAUUUGUGGUAGUUUACUUUGAUGACAUAUUGAUUUAUAGCAGAUAUUUGGAAGAACAUUUGGAACAUUUACGUGUUGUUUUUAUUGCUCUACGUGAUGCAUGUUUGUUUGGUAACCUUGGGAAGUGCACCUUUUGCACCGAUCGAGUAUCUCUUCUUGGCUAUGUUGUUACUCCACAGGGAAUUGAAGUUGAUAAAGCCAAGAUUGAAGCUAUUGAGAGUUGGCCGCAGCCCAAAACGGUCACACAAGUGAGGAGUUUCCUUGGCCUCGCUGGUUUCUAUAGGCGUUUUGUGAGAGAUUUCAGCACCAUUGCUGCACUUCUCAACGAGCUUACAAAGAAGGAUGUGCCUUUUGUUUGGGGUACCGCACAGGAAGAAGCCUUCACGGUAUUGAAAGAUAAGUUGACACAUGCUCCUUUACUCCAACUUCCUAAUUUCAAUAAGACUUUUGAGCUUGAAUGUGAUGCUAGUGGAAUUGGAUUAGGAGGUGUGUUAUUACAAGAUGGAAAACCUGUUGCAUACUUUUCUGAAAAAUUGAGUGGGCCUAGUCUGAACUAUUCUACUUAUGAUAAAGAAUUAUAUGCUCUUGUUCGGACCUUAGAAACAUGGCAACAUUAUUUAUGGCCCAAGGAAUUUGUUAUACAUUUUGAUCAUGAAUCUUUGAAACACAUUAAAAGUCAAGCAAAACUGAACCGUAGACAUGCUAAAUGGGUUGAAUUCAUUAAGACUUUCCCUUAUGUCAUUAAACACAAGAAGGGUAAAGAAAAUGUUAUUGCUGAUGCCUUGUCUCGUCGUUAUACUAUGCUUUCACAACUUGACUUUAAAAUAUUUGGAUUGGAGACCAUCAAAGAUCAAUAUGUGCAUGAUGCUGAUUUUAAAGAUGUAAUGCAGAAUUGUAAAGAAGGAAGAAUGUGGAACAAGUUCGUCGUUAACGAUGGAUUUGUGUUUCAUGCUAACAAGCUAUGCAUUCCAGCUAGCUCCGUUCUCUUUUGUUGUUGCAGGAGGCGCAUGGAGGAGGAUUAAUGGGACACUUUGGCGUGAAGAAGAUGGAGGACGUACUUGCUACACAUUUCUUUUGGCCAAAGAUGAGACGGGAUGUUGAGCGUUUUAUUGCUCGAUGCACUACAUGUCAAAAAGCUAAGUCACGACUCAAUCCUCAUGGUUUAUAUAUGCCUUUGCCUGUACCUAGUGUUCCUUGGGAGGAUAUAUCUAUGGACUUUGUUUUAGGUUUACCUCGAACAAAGAAGGGGAGGGAUAGCAUAUUUGUUGUCGUGGAUAGAUUCUCGAAAAUGGCACAANNNNNNNNNNNNNNNNNNNNNNNNNNNNNNNNNNNNNNNNNNNNNNNNNNNNNNNNNNNNNNNNNNNNNNNNNNNNNNNNNNNNNNNNNNNNNNNNNNNNNNNNNNNNNNNNNNNNNNNNNNNNNNNNNNNNNNNNNNNNNNNNNNNNNNNNNNNNNNNNNNNNNNNNNNNNNNNNNNNNNNNNNNNNNNNNNNNNNNNNNNNNNNNNNNNNNNNNNNNNNNNNNNNNNNNNNNNNNNNNNNNNNNNNNNNNNNNNNNNNNNNNNNNNNNNNNNNNNNNNNNNNNNNNNNNNNNNNNNNNNNNNNNNNNNNNNNNNNNNNNNNNNNNNNNNNNNNNNNNNNNNNNNNNNNNNNNNNNNNNNNNNNNNNNNNNNNNNNNNNNNNNNNNNNNNNNNNNNNNNNNNNNNNNNNNNNNNNNNNNNNNNNNNNNNNNNNNNNNNNNNNNNNNNNNNNNNNNNNNNNNNNNNNNNNNNNNNNNNNNNNNNNNNNNNNNNNNNNNNNNNNNNNNNNNNNNNNNNNNNNNNNNNNNNNNNNNNNNNNNNNNNNNNNNNNNNNNNNNNNNNNNNNNNNNNNNNNNNNNNNNNNNNNNNNNNNNNNNNNNNNNNNNNNNNNNNNNNNNNNNNNNNNNNNNNNNNNNNNNNNNNNNNNNNNNNNNNNNNNNNNNNNNNNNNNNNNNNNNNNNNNNNNNNNNNNNNNNNNNNNNNNNNNNNNNNNNNNNNNNNNNNNNNNNNNNNNNNNNNNNNNNNNNNNNNNNNNNNNNNNNNNNNNNNNNNNNNNNNNNNNNNNNNNNNNNNNNNNNNNNNNNNNNNNNNNNNNNNNNNNNNNNNNNNNNNNNNNNNNNNNNNNNNNNNNNNNNNNNNNNNNNNNNNNNNNNNNNNNNNNNNNNNNNNNNNNNNNNNNNNNNNNNNNNNNNNNNNNNNNNNNNNNNNNNNNNNNNNNNNNNNNNNNNNNNNNNNNNNNNNNNNNNNNNNNNNNNNNNNNNNNNNNNNNNNNNNNNNNNNNNNNNNNNNNNNNNNNNNNNNNNNNNNNNNNNNNNNNNNNNNNNNNNNNNNNNNNNNNNNNNNNNNNNNNNNNNNNNNNNNNNNNNNNNNNNNNNNNNNNNNNNNNNNNNNNNNNNNNNNNNNNNNNNNNNNNNNNNNNNNNNNNNNNNNNNNNNNNNNNNNNNNNNNNNNNNNNNNNNNNNNNNNNNNNNNNNNNNNNNNNNNNNNNNNNNNNNNNNNNNNNNNNNNNNNNNNNNNNNNNNNNNNNNNNNNNNNNNNNNNNNNNNNNNNNNNNNNNNNNNNNNNNNNNNNNNNNNNNNNNNNNNNNNNNNNNNNNNNNNNNNNNNNNNNNNNNNNNNNNNNNNNNNNNNNNNNNNNNNNNNNNNNNNGUUAAGGUAACACGUACUGUUCGUGUGCAUUUUAGUAUCUCUACAUAUGCUGAUUAUGUUGAUUGUGAUGUGGUACCUAUGCAAGCAUGUUCCUUAUUACUUGGUAGACCAUGGCAAUUUGAUAAAAAUUCUGUACACCAUGGUAGAAACAAUCACUAUACUCUUGUUCAUAAGGAUAAAAAUAUUACUUUGCUUCCUAUGACUCCUGAUUCCAUUUUGAAAGAUGAUAUUAAUAGAGCUAAUAAAGCACAACAGGAGAAGAAUAAGAGUGAAAAUCAGAUUGUGGCAAAAGAAUUUGAGCAACAAAUGAAGCCUAAUAAUAAACCAUCUAGUGUUGCUUCUGAAAUUAAAUUGAAAAGUGCAUGUUUAUUUGCCACCAAAUCUGAUAUUGAUGAGCUAGAUUUCAGCAAAUCUGUUUGCUAUGCUUUUGUGUGCAAAGAGGCUGAUAGAGGCGGGGUGUCCCGAUCUUUCGAUGAGAUGAUAACUAUCGAUUUGGUGGAGACGACUUUGACGAUCCGACUACAAACGUGCACGACGUUGCGCCUUAGCAAUCGCUAAUCCAACUCCGAGAGGUUAUUGACCACGCCGGAGCACAAUCAACCUGACCACGAAGGUCUAUUCCUACAAGCAAUCGAAGAACAAGCAAGAAUAUGAUAAAAGCAAUCUGAAUAUUGCGAGUAUAUAUGAAGUAUUGAUAAAGGUGGGGAUCCGUAAGCGGUCUUGGUCUGGUCGUUGGACACAAACGAAGUACACGAAGUUGCAAUGGCUAACUUUUAACUAAACAAAUCCCAAGGAAAAGCUACUAGAUGGAUCUACUUAUAUAGGAGCAAGGGGUGGCGGCCAAGGAGGUGGGAGGACGUCCCAAGGCAGCCUAAAACUAAAUCUAGGUCGUACAAGGCCAAUGGGCCCAAGUGGAGGUGAUGUAACACCUUUGGACUUGUAGUUUGACUCGGAUUCUGCUGCAGCAUCAGAUUGUUUCGUCCACAACUCAACGCUUCGGACGAAUUUGAAGGUGAUUCCAAUUGGGUUGGAAAGUGCACUAAAUCUAGUUUCCAACAAAAAAAGAAUCACCCAAUUCGGAGUCCGUAUGAAAAACUUGUGUGCGUUUUGAGUCAGGUGUGUCUGUGCAGUCCGAAUCUGAAUCCAGAACGUGAGAGACUUGGACUCUAUCUUCUCUUGGGCCAAAAGUGACGUGAGAGAACUUUUUGGACAUCAAAUAAACAUCUCUUUCUUCCUUAUCUUCAUAUGUGGAUUGUACAAAUGUCCCAUACACCUGCAAUUAGACAAAACACAAAAGUGUGUGAAGUAUUUUUGUUCUGGAUAACAUAAAUAGAUUAUUGAAUAGUUUGCACUAGAAAUCACCUUACAAAUAUGUAUAUAUGCAAUAUUUUUGGUCAUAUCCAAGGUAGUCAUGUCCUUAUCAUCCUCCCCUUCUUGAAAAUAAAGCCGUCCUCGGCGUUGCUUAAUCUGAAAUGUGGCUAACAAAAGAGACAAGGUGUACAUGUUGUAUAUGUAUAUGUCAUCCAUUUUUACUUCCCUUGAUUUUUGCAUAUAUGACACAUGAAUAGAUGAGUAACUUGCAUAGUUCAUAAAAUCUAAAGCCAAAAAAUUAGCACAAGAAGUAGAAGGCAUGAAUUUAUUGCAACUCAGUUUGCACAUAUAAGUGAAGCUCUUAUUCAUUUCAAAAGAUUGACAAUGUUCAUCAUUAAACCAUCCCAACAUUGAUGAAUAAACCUUACUUGCAUCAAAUUUACAUGCGACAACAUGCUUAAAUAAGCAAACAUGCAAUAAGGCAUUCAACACAGAAUCAUCACCAAGAUUAGAGGUCAUAUCAAAAUGAUUAAACAUUGCUUCUUUUGCAUCAAUAGUUAAUUCAAUGGGUGCACUCAAAAUUGUUGGUAUUUCAGUUGUUUGAUCACAUGGCAAAGUCAAAUUAUCAACAUAGUCCUCGAAAAUAGGUGGUGUGAUCAAAGUAGUGGGUAGCUCAUCAGAUGGUGCAUUCAAAUUGACAAGGCAUUCAUCAUUCUCAUGUAGAGAUGGAAGAUCAGUACCUUUGUCAUUACCUCUUAUGAUCAACUCAGAUGAUGUAGCCACUCUCGGGGGCGAUGUGUCACAUGGUGGAGGUGAUGUAGUCCUGACAACAACGGAUGUGGUUGUCAUAGUAUGCCUAGUAGUUGAAGGAACAAUCAUAUCAACUCUUGGAAUGUGCACCGUGCGCUUGUUUUCCUCGUGGCCAACACGUCGUUUUAUUUCCUGUUCAGCUUUGCAAGCAAGAUGAAACAAAUGGUCCAUAGGAUAACACUCUUCAUGAAUUAGUAUCUCUUGAAUAUCACGGUUUAAUCCUCCCCAAAAUCUAUCCAUAAAAUCAUCUUCACUUUCUUCUAAAGAGGAAUGCAACAAGGUAGUUUGUAAAUCAUCAUAAUAUUUUGUUACAGUGUCACUACCUUGUUUUAAGUGUUGCAACUUCUUAAUCAUGUCACGAGUAUAAUAAGCAGGGACGAAAGUAUGUCGCAUGGCAAGUUUCAAAUCAUCCCAAGUAGUAGGUAUAUAAUCAGGGUGUAACCGACAAUAUUCACUCCACCAAACCAAAGCAUAACCAGUGAAAGAACCAACCGCAACCUUAACCUUUUUAUGUUCAUCGAAAUUAUGGGAAGCAAAUAUAUUUUUUAUGUCGAACUCCCAUUCAAUAUAUAAAGCAGGUUUAAAACGGUCAUUAAAUGGUGGUAUAGAUACAUUAACCUGAUCAUGUGCAUUUGGAUGUUUGUGCACCUCUCGUGACGGUUGUGGUAUUUGCAAAGGUGGUGGCACGUCUCCCGCGAUCGACAAAGCCCAUGAAUUGACUCUGGAUCCUGUCAUGAUUAGUAGAACAAGAAACAAAACCCAAAAUAAUGUUCCUAUAACUACUAGGAUGUGGUGGUAAAACGCUCACAGUAAAGCAAAUAUCAAUGUCUUACAAGUUCUUACCAUGCAGCAGGCGGUGAUCGGCAACCAGCGGUGUCAAGUAACUCUGAAUAUUGAGUAAAGCGAUUGCCAAGGGAGCGUACGUAUACACGGUGUAGAAAUAUGUGGAGCUGGGUUGGCUAUAUAUGGUAGCAAAAGAUUAGCAAUAAUCAAUUCAAAGAUGCAAUGUUGAAUAAACGCUCAACGACGGUACUGUGCUGGUUCUAGGCUAGACCGAACUAGAGACGCGAGCCUAGAACACUAAUGAGGUCACGUAGUAGCACAACUAGCAUCAAUUAAGGAUACUAAGUAGCUCUGGACAGCAAGAUAUAAGUGAAGAUCACAACGGCAGUAAAGAUAAUGAUGUGAAACAACAGCCAAGCAGGAUAUAUCAACAACUUUGUCUCCAACUUUCCUCCGAAAAAGUUUGUGCCGAUUUUUUUGAUUUUUUUUCUCUUUUUUUUCCUCACACUUUUUUUCUUUCUCUCCUUUUUUUUCUCUGACUUUUUUUUCUCCUUUUUUUCUCUCUCGUUUUUUUCUCUCUCUUUUUUCUCCCUCUUUCCAAAACAAACUAGAUAAGAUGCAGAUUGGAUCAAGUGAAGAUGUGAACGAUCUCAACUAUUAUUAUGACAUUGAAUGGUGGGUAGCACGUGGUGGAAAUUGAUGGAUGGGUGGUGGACAGCGGAAGAGAUAAUGAUGCAGCGGUGGCGUGACUAAUGUGAACAGAACUCGAAACUCUAAACGAACUAGACACUAAGACCAGCAACUCGACACGACGAUGCAACCGAUAAUUCAACUAUGCAAGCAAUGAAAAGAAAAUUGCAAAGGCUCAGACUGGCUUGGACCAAGGAUGAAUAGAUCUAACUCUUUUUUGUGGCUUUUUCUUGGACAAUAGGUAAGAAAAUAAAUCUAAUCUAGGAAAACUGGAAAUUCUCACCGAGCAACCUGAAAACUGAUACCACUUGAUAGAGGCAAUGGUGUCCCGAUCUUUCGAUGAGAUGAUAACUAUCGAUUUGGUGGAGACGACUUUGACGAUCCGACUACAAACGUGCACGAUGUUGCGCCUUAGCAAUCGCUAAUCCAACUCCGAGAGGUUAUUGACCACGCCGGAGCACAAUCAACCUGACCACGAAGGUCUAUUCCUACAAGCAAUUGAAGAACAAGCAAGAAUAUGAUAAAAGCAAUCUGAAUAUUGCGAGUAUAUAUGAAGUAUUGAUAAAGGUGGGGAUCCGUAAGCGGUCUUGGUCUGGUCGUUGGACACAAACGAAGUACACGAAGUUGCAAUGGCUAACUUUUAACUAAACAAAUCCCAAGGAAAAGCUACUAGAUGGAUCUACUUAUAUAGGAGCAAGGGGUGGCGGCCAAGGAGGUGGGAGGACGUUCCAAGGCAGCCUAAAACUAAAUCUAGGUCGUACAAGGCCAAUGGGCCCAAGUGGAGGUGAUGUAACACCUUUGGACUUGUAGUUUGACUCGGAUUCUGCUGCAGCAUCAGAUUGUUUCGUCCACAACUCAACGCUUCGGACGAAUUUGAAGGUGAUUCCAAUUGGGUUGGAAAGUGCACUAAAUCUAGUUUCCAACAAAAAAAGAAUCACCCAAUUCGGAGUCCGUAUGAAAAACUUGUGUGCGUUUUGAGUCAGGUGUGUCUGUGCAGUCCGAAUCUGAAUCCAGAACGUGAGAGACUUGGACUCUAUCUUCUCUUGGGCCAAAAGUGACGUGAGAGAACUUUUUGGACAUCAAAUAAACAUCUCUUUCUUCCUUAUCUUCAUAUGUGGAUUGUACAAAUGUCCCAUACACCUGCAAUUAGACAAAACACAAAAGUGUGUGAAGUAUUUUUGUUCUGGAUAACAUAAAUAGAUUAUUGAAUAGUUUGCACUAGAAAUCACCUUACAAAUAUGCAUAUAUGCAAUAUUUUUGGUCAUAUCCAAGGUAGUCAUGUCCUUAUCAGAGGCAUUAUUUUCAUUCGAGGACGUGCCUUCCUCUUUGCCUCCUGCUGUCACUAACAUUUUGCAGGAGUUCGCUGACGUUUUUCCACAAGACGUGCCACCGGGAUUACCGCCUAUUCGAGGGAUUGAGCAUCAGAUUGAUUUAAUUCCCGGUGCUUCACUGCCAAACCGUGCACCAUACCGUACCAAUCCAGAGGAGACGAAGGAGAUUAUGCGUCAAGUGCAAGAGCUUCUCGACAAAGGUUAUAUACGCGAAUCCCUUAGUCCUUGUGCUGUUCCUAUUAUUCUAGUGCCGAAAAAGGAUGGUACAUCACGUAUGUGUGUUGAUUGUAGAGGCAUUAAUAAUAUUACUAUUCGUUAUCGUCAUCCUAUUCCUAGGCUAGAUGAUAUGCUUGAUGAAUUGAGUGGCUCUACAAUAUUCUCCAAAGUUGAUUUGCGUAGUGGCUACCAUCAAAUUCGUAUGAAAUUGGGAGAUGAAUGGAAAACAACAUUUAAAACUAAGUUUGGAUUAUAUGAGUGGUUAGUCAUGCCUUUUGGGUUAACUAAUGCACCUAGUACUUUCAUGAGAUUAAUGAACGAAGUUUUACGUGCUUUCAUUGGACGAUUUGUGGUAGUUUAUUUUGAUGACAUAUUGAUUUAUAGCAGAUCUUUGGAAGAACAUUUGGAACAUUUACGUGCUGUUUUUAUUGCUCUACGUGAUGCACGUUUGUUUGGUAACCUUGGGAAGUGCACCUUUUGCACCGACCGAGUAUCUUUUCUUGGCUAUGUUGUUACUCCACAGGGAAUUGAAGUUGAUAAAGCCAAGAUUGAAGCUAUUGAGAGUUGGCCGCAGCCCAAAACGGUCACACAAGUGAGGAGUUUUCUUGGCCUCGCUGGAUUCUAUAGGCGUUUUGUGAGAGAUUUCAGCACCAUUGCUGCACCUCUCAAUGAGCUUACAAAGAAAGAUGUGCCUUUUCUUUGGGGUACCGCACAGGAAGAAGCCUUCUCGGUAUUAAAAGAUAAGUUGACACAUGCUCCUUUACUCCAACUUCCUGAUUUUAAUAAGACUUUUGAGCUUGAAUGUGAUGCUAGUGGAAUUGGAUUAGGCGGUGUGUUAUUACAAGAUGGCAAACCUGUUGAUAGAGGCGGAGGUGUCCCGUCUUUCGAUGAGAUGGUGGAUUUCGCUUUGGUGGAAGUCGACUUUGACGAUCCGACUACGAACGUGCGAGGACGUCGCGCCUUAGCAAUCGCUAAACCAACUCCGAGAGGUUAUUGACCACGCCGGAGCACGAUCAACCUGACCACGAGGGUCUGUUUCCUGCGAGCAAACGAAGAACAAGCAAGAAACUAAGAUUGCAAUCUGGAUAUUGCGAAUAUAAGAUGAAAGCUUUAUUGAUCAAGGUGGGGUUCUGUGACGCCUUUGUCUGGUCGUUGAACACAAACGAAGUACGCGAAGUUGCAGCUAUGGCGAACUUUUAAUCUAAACAAAACCCAACGUCUAAACGAUGCCCUAAGGGCUGUAUAUAUGGAGGAAGAGGGGGAGAAUUUCGUGGCCCUUGGUGGAGGGGUCCGAAAUCAACCCUAUCUCUUGUUUCCCCACACAUACGGACUCUAAAAAUAGCCUAUACUUAUGUAUUUCGAAAUUACAUGGGCCUGGCCCAAUAAUAAGGUGACGCAGCACCUAAAAUAGCCUCGGGACGAAAUUUAUGAAGUGGCGUCUUGUAUAUUUCGUCCAAGGCUUCAUGCACCCAUUAUGGUGGCUUCAAAGUCCUGAAAUCAUCACUUGUAACUCCGUUCUUGUUUCCCUUGCGCAUGCCAUCAUCUCCAUGCUUGUUCUUGCUCCAAUGUUCAUCCUUCUCCAAGCUAGGCCCUUCAUUUGUAAGCAAAACAAAUGUAUCCAAUUUAGGCAGCAUCAUAUUCUCAUGAACAUUAGAAUCAUUACCAAGAAACGAAAGUACCUGGUAAUUUAGUUGGCGUGCACGAGCUCUAGUAAUUGGUCCAGUAUGUAUAGCAGCAGGGGCUGUGGGUGUAACAAUUGUAUUGAUGUCCUCAUCAUCCUCCCCUUCUUGAAAUGAAGUCGUCCUCGACGGAAGUUCAUCUUCCUCACCCAAAUAAGGCUUCAAAUCUGCAAUGUUAAAAGUGGGACUAACCCCAAAAUCUGCAGGCAGCUCAAGUUUAUAUGCAUUACCAUUUAUUUUCUCUAACACCUUAAAGGGACCAUCAGCACGUGGCAUUAACUUUGAUUUGCGCAAAUCAGGAAAUCUAUCCUUACGCAAAUGUAACCAAACAAGAUCUCCAGGUGCAAACACAACAUGUUUUCUACCCUUAUCUCCAGCAAGUUUAUAUUUAGCAUUCAUGCGCUCAAUGUUUUCCUUAGUUAACUCAUGCAUUUUUAAAAUCAAUUCAGCACGUUGUUUAGCAUCAAAAUUAACCUUCUCCGAAGAUGGAAGAGGCAACAAAUCAAUAGGUGCACGAGGUAGGAAACCAUACACAACUUCAAAAGGGCACAUCUUAGUAGUAGAAUGCAAUUAACGAUUAUAAGCAAAUUCAAUAUGAGGCAAGCAUUCCUCCCACAUUUUCUUAUUAUUCUUCAAAACAGCCCUAAGCAUAGUAGACAACGUUCUAUUGACUACUUCAGUUUGUCCAUCAGUUUGGGGGUGACAAGUAGUACUAAAAAGCAGUUUAGUCCCCAACUUAGCCCAUAAACAUCUCCAAAAGUGGCUAAGAAAUUUAGUAUCACGAUCUGAAACAAUAGUAUUUGGCACACCAUGCAAGCGAAUAAUUUCACGAAAGAACAAAUCAGCAACAUUAACAGCAUCAUCGCUUUUAUGACAUGGUAUAAAGUGUGCCAUUUUCGAGAAUCUAUCCACGACAACAAAUAUGCUAUCCCUCCCUGAUGAGGACAUCAAUACAAUUGUUACACCCACAGCCCCUGCUGCUAUACAUACUGGACCAAUUACUAGAGCUCGUGCACGCCAACUAAACUACCAGGUACUUUCGUUUCUUGGUAAUGAUUCUAAUGUUCAUGAGAAUAUGAUGCUGCCUAAAUUGGAUACAUUUGUUUUGCUUACAAAUGAAGGGCCUAGCUUGGAGAAGGAUGAACAUUGGAGCAAGAACAAGAACGGAGUUACAAGUGAUGAUUUCAGGACUUUGAAGCCACCAUAAUGGGUGCAUGAAGCCUUGGACGAAAUAUACAAGAUGCCACUUCAUAAAUUUCGUUCCGAGGCUAUUUUAGGUGCUGCGUCACCUUAUUAUUGGGCCAGGCCCAUGUAAUUUCGAAAUACAUAAGUAUAGGCUAUUUUUAGAGUCCGUAUGUGUGGGGAAACAAGAGAUAGGGUUGAUUUCGGACCCCUCCACCAAGGGCCACGAAAUUCCCCCCCUCUUCCUCCAUAUAUACAGCCCUUAGGGCAUCGUUUAGACUUUGGGUUUUGUUUAGAUUGAAAGUUCGCCAUAGCUGCAACUUCGCGUACUUCGUUUGUGUUCAACGACCAGACAAAGGCGUCACAGAACCCCACCUUGAUCAAUAAAGCUUUCAUCUUAUAUUCGCAAUAUCCAGAUUGCAAUCUCAGUUUCUUGCUUGUUCUUCGUUUGCUCGCAGGAAACAGACCCUCGUGGUCAGGUUGAUCGUGCUCCGGCGUGGUCAAUAACCUCUCGGAGUUGGUUUAGCGAUUGCUAAGGCGCGACGUCCUCGCACGUUCGUAGUCGGAUCGUCAAAGUCGACUUCCACCAAAGCGAAAUCCACUAUCUCAUCGAAAGACGGGACACCUUUGCCUCUAUCAAGAAGCUUUCUCUCACCACAAGACCACAUCCACAUCCUUACUACAUCCAAUGGUUCAACAACAGCGGCAAGGUUAAGGUAACACGUACUGUUCGUGUGCAUUUUAGUAUCUCUACAUAUGCUGAUUAUGUUGAUUGUGAUGUGGUACCUAUGCAAGCAUGUUCCUUAUUACUUGGUAGACCAUGGCAAUUUGAUAAAAAUUCUGUACACCAUGGUAGAAACAAUCACUAUACUCUUGUUCAUAAGGAUAAAAAUAUUACUUUGCUUCCUAUGACUCCUGAUUCCAUUUUGAAAGAUGAUAUUAAUAGAGCUAAUAAAGCACAACAGGAGAAGAAUAGGAGUGAAAAUCAGAUUGUGGCAAAAGAAUUUGAGCAACAAAUGAAGCCUAAUAAUAAACCAUCUAGUGUUGCUUCUGAAAUUAAAUUGAAAAGUGCAUGUUUAUUUGCCACCAAAUCUGAUAUUGAUGAGCUAGAUUUCAGCAAAUCUGUUUGCUAUGCUUUUGUGUGCAAAGAGGCAUUAUUUUCAUUCGAGGACGUGCCUUCCUCUUUGCCUCCUGCUGUCACUAACAUUUUGCAGGAGUUCGCUGACGUUUUUCCACAAGACUUGCCACCGGGAUUACCGCCUAUUCGAGGGAUUGAGCAUCAGAUUGACUUAAUUCCCGGUGCUUCACUGCCAAACCGUGCACCAUACCGUACCAAUCCAGAGGAGACGAAGGAGAUUAUGCGUCAAGUACAAGAGCUUCUCGACAAAGGUUAUAUACGCGAAUCCCUUAGUCCUUGUGCUGUUCCUAUUAUUCUAGUGCCGAAAAAGGAUGGUACAUCACGUAUGUGUGUUGAUUGUAGAGGCAUUAAUAAUAUUACUAUUCGUUAUCGUCAUCCUAUUCCUAGGCUAGAUGAUAUGCUUGAUGAAUUGAGUGGCUCUACAAUAUUCUCCAAAGUUGAUUUGCGUAGUGGAUACCAUCAAAUUCGUAUGAAAUUGGGAGAUGAAUGGAAAACAGCAUUUAAAACUAAGUUUGGAUUAUAUGAGUGGUUAGUCAUGCCUUUUGGGUUAACUAAUGCGCCUAGUACUUUCAUGAGACUAAUGAACGAAGUUUUACGUGCUUUCAUUGGACGAUUUGUGGUAGUUUACUUUGAUGACAUAUUGAUUUAUAGCAGAUCUUUGGAAGAACAUUUGGAACAUUUACGUGCUGUUUUUAUUGCUCUACGUGAUGCACGUUUGUUUGGUAACCUUGGGAAGUGCACCUUUUGCACCGACCGAGUAUCUUUUCUUGGCUAUGUUGUUACUCCACAGGGAAUUGAAGUUGAUAAAGCCAAGAUUGAAGCUAUUGAGAGUUGGCCGCAGCCCAAAACGGUCACACAAGUGAGGAGUUUUCUUGGCCUCGCUGGAUUCUAUAGGCGUUUCGUGAGAGAUUUCAGCACCAUUGCUGCACCUCUCAAUGAGCUUACAAAGAAAGAUGUGCCUUUUCUUUGGGGUACCGCACAGGAAGAAGCCUUCACGGUAUUGAAAGAUAAGUUGACACAUGCUCCUUUACUCCAACUUCCUGAUUUUAAUAAGACUUUUGAGCUUGAAUGUGAUGCUAGUGGAAUUGGAUUAGGAGGUGUGUUAUUACAAGAUGGCAAACCUGUUGCAUACUUUUUUGAAAAAUUGAGUGGGCCUAGUCUGAAUUAUUCUACUUAUGAUAAAGAAUUAUAUGCUCUUGUUCGGACUUUAGAAACAUGGCAACAUUAUUUAUGGCCCAAAGAAUUUGUUAUACAUUCUGAUCAUGAAUCAUUGAAAUAUAUUAAAAGUCAAGCUAAACUGAAUCGUAGACAUGCUAAAUGGGUUGAAUUCAUUGAGACUUUCCCUUAUGUCAUUAAACACAAGAAGGGAAAAGAAAAUGUUAUUGCUGAUGCUUUGUCUCGUCGCUAUACUAUGCUUUCACAACUUGACUUCAAAAUAUUUGGUUUGGAGACCAUCAAAGAUCAAUAUGUGCAUGAUGCUGAUUUUAAAGAUGUAAUGCAUAAUUGUAAAGAAGGAAGAAUGUGGAACAAGUUUGUUGUUAACGAUGGAUUUGUGUUUCGUGCUAACAAGCUAUGCAUUCCAGCUAGCUCCGUUUGUCUUUUGUUGUUGCAGGAGGCGCAUGGAGGAGGACUAAUGGGACACUUUGGCGUGAAGAAGACGGAUGACGUACUUGCUACACAUUUCUUUUGGCCAAAGAUGAGACGGAAUGUUGAGCGUUUUAUUGCUCGCUGCACUACAUGUCAAAAAGCUAAGUCACGCCUCAAUCCUCAUGGUUUAUAUAUGCCUUUGCCUGUACCUAGUGUUCCUUGGGAGGAUAUAUCUAUGGACUUUGUUUUAGGUUUACCUCGAACAAAGAAGGGGAGGGAUAGCAUAUUUGUUGUCGUGGAUAGAUUCUCGAAAAUGGCACACUUUAUACCAUGUCAUAAAAGCGAUGAUGCUGUUAAUGUUGCUGAUUUGUUCUUUCGUGAAAUUAUUCGCUUGCAUGGUGUGCCAAAUACUAUUGUUUCAGAUCGUGAUACUAAAUUUCUUAGCCACUUUUGGAGAUGUUUAUGGGCUAAGUUGGGGACUAAACUGCUUUUUAGUACUACUUGUCACCCCCAAACUGAUGGACAAACUGAAGUAGUCAAUAGAACGUUGUCUACUUUGCUUAGGGCUGUUUUGAAGAAUAAUAAGAAAAUGUGGGAGGAAUGCUUGCCUCAUAUUGAAUUUGCUUAUAAUCGUUCAUUGCAUUCUACUACUAAGAUGUGCCCUUUUGAAGUUGUGUAUGGUUUCCUACCUCGUGCACCUAUUGAUUUGUUGCCUCUUCCAUCUUCGGAGAAGGUUAAUUUUGAUGCUAAACAACGUGCUGAAUUGAUUUUAAAAAUGCAUGAGUUAACUAAGGAAAACAUUGAGCGCAUGAAUGCUAAAUAUAAACUUGCUGGAGAUAAGGGUAGAAAACAUGUUGUAUUUGCACCUGGAGAUCUUGUUUGGUUACAUUUGCGUAAGGAUAGAUUUCCUGAUUUGCGCAAAUCAAAGUUAAUGCCACGUGCUGAUGGUCCCUUUAAGGUGUUAGAGAAAAUAAAUGAUAAUACAUAUAAACUUGAGCUGCCUGCAGAUUUUGGGGUUAGUCCCACUUUUAACAUUGCAGAUUUGAAGCCUUAUUUGGGUGAGGAAGAUGAACUUCCGUCGAGGACGAUUUCAUUUCAAGAAGGGGAGGAUGAUGAGGACAUCAAUACAAUUGUUACACCCACAGCCCCUGCUGCUAUACAUGCUGGACCAAUUACUAGAGCUCGUGCACGCCAACUAAAUUACCAGGUACUUUCGUUUCUUGGUAAUGAUUCUAAUGUUCAUGAGAAUAUGAUGCUGCCUAAAUUGGAUACAUUUGUUUUGCUUACGAAUGAAGGGCCUAGCUUGGAGAAGGAUGAACAUUGGAGCAAGAACAAGCAUGGAGAUGAUGGCAUGCGCAAGGGGAACAAGAACGGAGUUACAAGUGAUGAUUUCAGGACUUUGAAGCCACCAUAAUGGGUGCAUGAAGCCUUGGACGAAAUAUACAAGAUGCCACUUCAUAAAUUUCGUCCCGAGGCUAUUUUAGGUGCUGCGUCACCUUAUUAUUGGGCCAGGCCCAUGUAAUUUCGAAAUACAUAAGUAUAGGCUAUUUUUAGAGUCCGUAUGUGUGGGGAAACAAGAGAUAGGGUUGAUUUCGGACCCCUCCACCAAGGGCCACGAAAUUCCCCCCCUCUUCCUCCAUAUAUACAGCCCUUAGGGCAUCGUUUAGACUUAGGGUUUUGUUUAUAUUAAAAGUUCGCCAUAGCUGCAACUUCGCGUACUUCGUUUGUGUUCAACGACCAGACAAAGGCGUCACAGAACCCCACCUUGAUCAAUAAAGCUUUCAUCUUAUAUUCGCAAUAUCCAGAUUGCAAUCUCAGUUUCUUGCUUGUUCUUCGUUUGCUCGCAGGAAACAGACCCUCGUGGUCAGGUUGAUCGUGCUCCGGCGUGGUCAAUAACCUCUCGGAGUUGGUUUAGCGAUUGCUAAGGCGCGACGUCCUCGCACGUUCGUAGUCGGAUCGUCAAAGUCGACUUCCACCAAAGCGAUAUCCAUCAUCUCAUCGAAAGACGGGACACCUUUUCCUCUAUCAUUCUCUUGGGCCAAAAGUGACGUGAGAGAACUUUUUGGACAGCAAAUAAACAUCUCUUUCUUCCUUAUCUUCAUAUGUGGAUUGUACAAAUGUCCCAUACACCUGCAAUUAGACAAAACAGAAAAGUGUGUGAAGUAUUUUUGUUCUGGAUAACAUAAAUAGAUUAUUGAAUAGUUUGCACUAGAAAUCACCUGACAAAUAUGCAUAUAUGCAAUAUUUUUGGUCAUAUCCAAGGUAGUCAUGUCCUCAUCACAUGAUGUGACCAAUAGAAUUUUCACAUGAUAUCCUAUGGAGCAUAGCAUCACAACUAGGCAAAUCAACACGCUCAUCAUCAUAUUCAUCAUAGAUUGGUAAGUCAUGACAUGAAGAAUUUACACUAGCAUGAAGCAUCGGAAUAGCUGGAUCAACGUCAUGCAAGCAAUCAUUGGUGAGAUAGUCCACUAGUGGGACAAGAGAAGCACUAUCACCUUUGGAGCAUCACUCAUGUGUUGUAGGUGAGGUGUCGAAGACCGAGUCGUGGUCAUCUUCAUCUUGAUGGAACCAUGUGGGGGGUGCAUCUUCUUCCACCAUGGCCAUCGUCAUCUCCAUUGGAGGGAUGGACUCGUCGAGGAUAGGCGUGUCGUCAUGUAGGAAACCUAGCACCAAAGAAGAAAACACACUCGGAGUAGAGGUUAGGUCGUUAGAAAUCAUAGUGGCCUCACAAGGCAUGUCAACUACCUCACUAACUAAGUGUUGUGGCUCACUCACUCCCUCUCGGAUGCUCUCACUCAUAUGGUUGGUGGAGUCACUCAAAUGGCUGAUGAGGACAUCAAUACCAUUGUUACACCCACAACCCCUACUGCUACAUAUAUGGGACCAAUUACUAGAGCUCGCGCACGCCAAUUAAAUUAUCAUGUACUUUCGUUUCUUGGUAAUGAUUCUAAUGUUCAUGAGAAUAUGAUGCUGCCUAAAUUGGAUACAUUUGUUUUGCUUACAAAUGAAGGGCCUAGCUUGGAGAAGGAUGAACAUUGGAGCAAGAACAAGCAUGGAGAUGAUGCCAUGCGCAAGGGGAACAAGAACGGAGUUACAAGUGAUGAUUUUAGGACUUUGAAGCCACCAUAAUGGGUGCAUGAAGCCAUGGACGAAAUAUACAAGAUGCCACUUCAUAAAUUUCGUCCCGAGGCUAUUAUAGGUGCUGCGUCACCUUUUUAUUGGGCCAGGCCCAUGUAAUUUCGAAAUACAUAAGUAUAGGCUAUUUUUAGAGUCCGUAUGUGUGGGGAAACAAGAGAUAGGGUUGAUUUCGGACCCCUCCACCAAGGGCCACGAAAUUCCCCUCUCUUCCUCCAUAUAUACAGCCCUUAGGGCACCGUUUAGACUUUGGGUUUUGUUUAUAUUAAAAGUUCGCCAUAGCUGCAACUUCGCGUACUUGGUUUGUGUUCAACGACCAGACAAAGGCGUCACAGAACCCCACCUUGAUCAAUAAAGCUUUCAUCUUAUAUUCGCAAUAUCCAGAUUGCAAUCUUAGUUUCUUGCUUGUUCUUCGUUUGCUCGCAGGAAACAGACCCUCGUGGUCAGGUUGAUCGUGCUCCGGCGUGGUCAAUAACCUCUCGGAGUUGGUUUAGCGAUUGCUAAGGCGCGACGUCCUCGCACGUUCGUAGUCGGAUCGUCAAAGUCGACUUCCACCAAAGCGAUAUCCAUCAUCUCAUCGAAAGACGGGACACCUUUGCCUCUAUCAAUGGCUCUCAACCUCACAUAGGAUGUGUGGCAUGCUCUCAAGUGUGGGGCUAGUGGUGGUCACACUCAUCCUCUCAUAGGAAAUGCUCUCAAUGUCACGUGUGGUGGAGUCACUCAUGUCACUCAUGUGGUGGUGGCUCUCCUCACUGGCAAUUGCGGCAUCUCGGCAUAUGUGGGUGUCAGAGAGAUGUAGGUGCAAAUGUCUCCAUGCUCAAUCAUGUCAUGGUCGUAGCCGUGGAUGAAGGUCGAAGAUGGCACAUCAUCACUCUCCUCUAAGACCGAAGAUAAGGUCUCAUAUGCGGUCUCGUAGCUCGUCUCCAUGACCGAAGGGAAUUUCCCAUGCUCGGCCAUCUUCCUUGAGGGGCUUCCGAAGAUGGAAGUGUCGCCCUCGCUCAUAGGUGGUCGGCUUGGACUUGAUGAAGUCGUUGUAGGCAUACUUGUGGGAAGUAGGCGAAGAUGCGGUACGUCCAAAGGCGAAGAUGCCUUGAUAGCACUUGGCGAAGAUGCCAAAGUGGUGGUGGUAGUAGCCAUAGCGCCGUCUUUGUUGUGGUCGUCUCGCGGUCUUAUCUUUUGCUCAUGAAGCAUGGACUUGGCGUGAAGUAGGGCUUGUUGGGACUUGUGCAUUUGCGCUUGGUGAGCAUCUUCAUGAUGAUGUUGGCGUUGUUGCACUUGAUCUCGUAGUAGAUGUCGUUCACCGUCGUCGUGCACAUGUUGCUUGGAGGUGACUUGCCUUCAUGACGAGGUGGAUCACGAAUGUGAUGGUGGUCUCCAUGGUGAUGUGGAUGUGGACAACUUGUGUUUGCAUCAUUUUUGCGCUCCGAAGACUUGUGACUUGAACUUCGCCGCCUUGAGGAUGAUGAAGGGGAAGAACGGUUGAUCAACAAGGUCCGGAUCUCCUGCAUCCUUGCAUCUUGCUCCUCCUUUUGUGCGGAAAGCUUGUUGUCGAUGUAGUCCCUUUUCCUUGCUUCAGAGUGACAAAUUUUGAUGGAGAGGUUCUCGAUGCGCUCUCGCAAUCUUGAUUGUGCGCCUUGCAUUUGUCGUUGUAGAUCGAAGAUUGACGCUUUGGUGAUGUGGUUGUUCACGUCGUCGUUGUUGUGGAAGACCGGAGAUGAAAUGCCGUUCCUAUCCAUCACUCCAAGAGAAAAAUGUGAGUGGUAGAAAGGGAAGAAUGAAUACCAAAUGUACCUUGACCGAAGUUGAAAGUGGAUCAUGAUCACUCCAAUGUGGACAAGGAAAUAGCACAAUUGGUACCAAUUCUUGUCGGUUUCUCACACCUACGCAAAUAAGGCUUAUGGUGAGCUCGGUGAGGAUAGUGGCACAAAAAUUUGAUGUAAAAUGUUAGCAAGAGUCAAUAAUGAUGAAAGAGAUUCACAAAUUCGCAAGUGAAACAAGUAGACCAAUAGCAAUGAAUGGCACACGGAAACGCACACACGGAUGGAUAAAUGGGGUCGUGCAACCAAGGAUGAGGUCAAAAUGUGGAAUCCACGGAAAACACUCGUGUUGCACAACUCAAGAGAGACGCUAGCAUGAUUGCUCAAUAGGCGGAUACGACACUUGUUCACAACCUAUAAGAUGCAAAAUGGAUAACUUUCUAUCCCAAGUAUGCUAUGUAUGUAUGGUUCCCGGUGUUUCUCACAAGGUGAUCCAAGAUGAUCUUAUAUGCAAUGUGGUAUGAUGCUAUGGCUACUGCUUACAAGCAUAUUUGCACUUUCUCUUUUGCUUAAAAGCUUAUUCUUUUUUUGUAUAUGGCCACUUUGCGAAAUGCACAAACCAAGAUAGUAAUUGUGUAUAUGCGGGAACAAACUUGAGGCACAAGAGAUGAUAUGAUGAUACCAAUAUGAUAUGGUAUGUAUGCAAUGUAUGGUGUAGAUCACUAAUGUGCACAAGUAACGUUGCCGGCAAUACUCAAAUGGCUAGUCUCGAUAGGCAAGUGACGCAAAAUGGGCUAGGGGUUAUCAAUGCAAUGGCAAGGGAAUAUACAAUGGAGGGAUACCACAAUACCGAGAUGAUAUGGAGGUUACCGUCCGUGGCGAUGAUGAGUGGCGGUGAUCUUGAUGGAGAUACCAAGAUGAUGGAGACUCGUCCCUAAGUAUCCAAAACACCGUAGGAAACGGAAAAACCGCAAACUCAAAAUAUCAAAUGUCAAAUGUCAAAUGGUGGUAGCGGGAAUGCGGUGGUGGUUUUGUGAAAUCUCAAUGGAAUUGCGGAAUGGCAAUGAUGGGUUGUGGAGUACGCAAUGCGGAAAUGGAGGGUAAGGUGGUGGACUAUACACGGUGUCGGAGUUGGAAGUUCGGUCCCUAAGUAGCCGAAACACCUUAGGAGACACAACUCACAACUCAAACAAAAUUGGGUUAAGUUGGGGUGUGAGGUGGGCAAAACUAUGCGGAAGUUAUGGUGGUGGUAGUGGUUGAUGAAGAAGAAACUGUACCUAAGUAGCAUGGACACCUUAGGAGACUCAAAUCACUCCUCAAGCAACCACUAAUGCGAUGGGAAACAAAAUUGGUUAGGUUACAAAAGUCGGUGGUGGUGUAGCGAAUGGCGUGGUGGAAGCCCUAGGCAAAGAUUCCAAAAUUGUCAAAAUCUGAUGGAGUCAAAAGAUGUUGGUGGUAUUUUUGUGGAAAGGAGGAUGUCAAGAGCUUUUCAACGAGCUAAAGAACGCGAAAAUCGAACUCCGGAUGAAUUAGUUAUGGCCGAAACAAAAUUUGAGUGAAGUUGAUAUCUACAGGUAGCGGACGUCCGGAAAAAAACGGUCCUCCGGUCGCCAGACGUCCGGUCGGGUCGGAAAUCCGCUGAUUCUUCUCGGGUUAGGGGGUUCCGGUCGUCCGGUAAGGUCGGACAUCCGGUAAAGUGACGGUCGUCCGGUGGGUCGGGGUCAACGCGAAAUUUUAGAUCCGGGGCGCGAUUUUGGGCGUAAAAUGGAGAUUUUGGGGUCAAAAUUGAUGGGAUUUCAUGGAUGAAAGAUGGGGAAACUUGGGGAAACGCUAGAUCCACUCAAAAUCAAGCAAAUUCAUGGAUCAAAAUCAACAAAACAUCAUCAGACCAACAAAUCACAAAAAACAUUGAGGCUAUUUUUGGUGGGGAUUUUCGAAUUUGGGGAAGAACGCAACAAAAUUAGGCUAGAAAACACAACGGGGAGGCUCCGAAAUCGUGAUCAACGUGGCUCAUGAUACCAAGAUGUUGUAGGGUAGGAACCCUAUAGGCCGAUCUUUCACGAAAGGAGCGGAUCCCGCGAUGAACACGAAGAACACGAGGAGGAAAACGAGGGAAAACACAAGGGAACACACAAGAGGAGCACUCAAACUAACAAGAACAAGUCACACAUGUGCUAGAUCCUUGAGUACAAAGGGGAAGAUACACGAUCCAAAGUCAACAACGGAUGAUACACGGUAACCGGUCUUCUAAGUGAGGAGGUCUUGAGUUCUUCCCUAAAGAGGGGUCUUGAAUCCGCUUGGAGGAUCUUCUCCGAUGGAGGCUCGAAUCUCCGAGGAGAAGGUAACCAAGUGGAUGAGCAAAGCUCUCACACGAAAUUUGAGCUAAUCCUUUGCUAACCUUAACUAGGAGGAGGAGGAGGUCUAUUUAUAGUCUUAGUGCAAAAAGGGGGCUAAGUGAAGUGGUACAUGGGCCUCGGGCCCGAACACUGUGUGCGGACAGGUACCGGACGUCCGCUGGGGAUCGGUCGUCCGGUGGCUCACAGGCGGCCGGACGUCCGUUAGACGUCUGACGUCUGCUCGAUCUGGCUCGAAAGCUGUAGUGCCGGAUUUCCAGAGGUGAUAGAGGCGGGGGUGUCCCGAUCUUUCGAUGAGAUGAUAACUAUCGAUUUGGUGGAGACGACUUUGACAAUCCGACUACAAACGUGCACGACGUUGCGCCUUAGCAAUCGCUAAACCAACUCCGAGAGGUUAUUGACCACGCUGGAGCACGAUCAACCAGACCACGAAGGUCUAUUCCUGCAAGCAAUCGAAGAACGAGCAAGAAUAUGAUAAAGCAAUCUGAAUAUUGCGAAUAUAUAUGAAGUAUUGAUGAGGACAUCAAUACAAUUGUUACACCCACAGCCCCUGCUGCUAUACAUACUGGACCAAUUACUAGAGCUCGUGCACGCCAACUAAAUUACCAGGUACUUUCGUUUCUUGGUAAUGAUUCUAAUGUUCAUGAGAAUAUGAUGCUGCCUAAAUUGGAUACAUUUGUUUUGCUUACAAAUGAAGGGCCUAGCUUGGAGAAGGAUGAAUAUUGGAGCAAGAACAAGCAUGGAGAUGAUGGCAUGCGCAAGGGGAACAAGAACGGAGUUACAAGUGAUGAUUUCAGGACUUUGAAGCCACCAUAAUGGGUGCAUGAAGCCUUGGACGAAAUAUACAAGAUGCCACUUCAUAAAUUUCGUCCCGAGGCUAUUUUAGGUGCUGCGUCACCUUAUUAUUGGGCCAGGCCCAUGUAAUUUCGAAAUACAUAAGUAUAGGCUAUUUUUAGAGUCCGUAUGUGUGGGGAAACAAGAGAUAGGUUUGAUUUCGGACCCCUCCACCAAGGGCCACGAAAUUCCCCCCCCUCUUCCUCCAUAUAUACAGCCCUUAGGGCAUCGUUUAGACUUUGGGUUUUGUUUAGAUUAAAAGUUCGCCAUAGCUGCAACUUCGCGUACUUCGUUUGUGUUCAACGACCAGACAAAGGCGUCACAGAACCCCACCUUGAUCAAUAAAGCUUUCAUCUUAUAUUCGCAAUAUCCAGAUUGCAAUCUUAGUUUCUUGCUUGUUCUUCGUUUGCUCGCAGGAAACAGACCCUCGUGGUCAGGUUGAUCGUGCUCCGGCGUGGUCAAUAACCUCUCGGAGUUGGUUUAGCGAUUGCUAAGGCGCGACGUCCUCGCACGUUCGUAGUCGGAUCGUCAAAGUCGACUUCCACCAAAGCGAUAUCCAUCAUCUCAUCGAAAGAUCGGGACCCUCGCCUCUAUCAAAAACAAACUAGAUAAGAUGCAGAUUGGAUCAAGUGAAGAUGUGAACGAUCUCAACUAUUAUUAUGACAAUGAAUGGUGGGUAGCACGUGGUGGAAAUUGAUGGAUGGGUGGUGGACAGCGGAAGAGAUAAUGAUGCAGCGGUGGCGUGACUAAUGUGAACAGAACUCGAAACUCUAAACGAACUAGACACUAAGACCAGCAACUCGACACGACGAUGCAACCGAUAAUUCAACUAUGCAAGCAAUGAAAAGAAAAUUGCAAAGGCUCAGACUGGCUUGGACCAAGGAUGAAUAGAUCUAACUCUUUUUUGUGGCUUUUUCUUGGACAAUAGGUAAGAAAAUAAAUCUAAUCUAGGAAAACUGGAAAUUCUCACCGAGCAACCUGAAAACUGAUACCACUUGAUAGAGGCGAGGUGUCCCGAUCUUUCGAUGAGAUGAUAACUAUCGAUUUGGUGGAGAUGUGAUAGAGGCGAGGGUCCCGAUCUUUCGAUGAGAUGAUGGAUAUCGCUUUGGUGGAAGUCGACUUUGACGAUCCGACUACGAACGUGCGAGGACGUCGCGCCUUAGCAAUCGCUAAACCAACUCCGAGAGGUUAUUGACCACGCCGGAGCACGAUCAACCUGACCACGAGGGUCUGUUUCCUGCGAGCAAACGAAGAACAAGCAAGAAACUAAGAUUGCAAUCUGGAUAUUGCGAAUAUAAGAUGAAAGCUUUAUUGAUCAAGGUGGGGUUCUGUGACGCCUUUGUCUGGUCGUUGAACACAAACGAAGUACGCGAAGUUGCAGCUAUGGCGAACUUUUAAUCUAAACAAAACCCAAAGUCUAAACGAUGCCCUAAGGGCUGUAUAUAUGGAGGAAGAGGGGGAGAAUUUCGUGGCCCUUGGUGGAGGGGUCCGAAAUCAACCCUAUCUCUUGUUUCCCCACACAUACGGACUCUAAAAAUAGCCUAUACUUAUGUAUUUCGAAAUUACAUGGGCCUGGCCCAAUAAUAAGGUGACGCAGCACCUAAAAUAGCCUCGGGACGAAAUUUAUGAAGUGGCGUCUUGUAUAUUUCGUCCAAGGCUUCAUGCACCCAUUAUGGUGGCUUCAAAGUCCUGAAAUCAUCACUUGUAACUCCGUUCUUGUUUCCCUUGCGCAUGCCAUCACUCCAUGCUUGUUCUUGCUCCAAUGUUCAUCCUUCUCCAAGCUAGGCCCUUCAUUUGUAAGCAAAACAAAUGUAUCCAAUUUAGGCAGCAUCAUAUUCUCAUGAACAUUAGAAUCAUUACCAAGAAACGAAAGUACCUGGUAAUUUAGUUGGCGUGCACGAGCUCUAGUAAUUGGUCCAGUAUGUAUAGCAGCAGGGGCUGUGGGUGUAACAAUUGUAUUGAUGUCCUCAUCAUCCUCCCCUUCUUGAAAUGAAGUCGUCCUCGACGGAAGUUCAUCUUCCUCACCCAAAUAAGGCUUCAAAUCUGCAAUGUUAAAAGUGGGACUAACCCCAAAAUCUGCAGGCAGCUCAAGUUUAUAUGCAUUAUCAUUUAUUUUCUCUAACACCUUAAAGGGACCAUCAGCACGUGGCAUUAACUUUGAUUUGCGCAAAUCAGGAAAUCUAUCCUUACGCAAAUGUAACCAAACAAGAUCUCCAGGUGCAAAUACAACAUGUUUUCUACCCUUAUCUCCAGCAAGUUUAUAUUUAGCAUUCAUGCGCUCAAUGUUUUCCUUAGUUAACUCAUGCAUUUUUAAAAUCAAUUCAGCACGUUGUUUAGCAUCAAAAUUAACCUUCUCCGAAGAUGGAAGAGGCAACAAAUCAAUAGGUGCACGAGGUAGGAAACCAUACACAACUUCAAAAGGGCACAUCUUAGUAGUAGAAUGCAAUGAACGAUUAUAAGCAAAUUCAAUAUGAGGCAAGCAUUCCUCCCACAUUUUCUUAUUAUUCUUCAAAACAGCCCUAAGCAUAGUAGACAACGUUCUAUUGACUACUUCAGUUUGUCCAUCAGUUUGGGGGUGACAAGUAGUACUAAAAAGCAGUUUAGUCCCCAACUUAGCUGAUGAGGACAUCAAUACAAUUGUUACACCCACAGCCCCUGCUGCUAUACAUACUGGACCAAUUACUAGAGCCCGUGCACGCCAACUAAAUUACCAGGUACUUUCGUUUCUUGGUAAUGAUUCUAAUGUUCAUGAGAAUAUGAUGCUGCCUAAAUUGGAUACAUUUGUUUUGCUUACAAAUGAAGGGCCUAGCUUGGAGAAGGAUGAACAUUGGAGCAAGAACAAGCAUGGAGAUGAUGGCAUGCGCAAGGGGAACAAGAACGGAGUUACAAGUGAUGAUUUCAGGACUUUGAAGCCACCAUAAUGGGUGCAUGAAGCCUUGGACGAAAUAUACAAGAUGCCACUUCAUAAAUUUCGUCCCGAGGCUAUUUUAGGUGCUGCGUCACCUUAUUAUUGGGCCAGGCCAAUGUAAUUUCGAAAUACAUAAGUAUAGGCUAUUUUUAGAGUCCGUAUGUGUGGGGAAACAAGAGAUAGGGUUGAUUUCGGACCCCUCCACCAAGGGCCACGAAAUUCCCCCCUCUUCCUCCAUAUAUACAGCCCUUAGGGCAUCGUUUAGACUUUGGGUUUUGUUUAGAUUAAAAGUUCGCCAUAGCUGCAACUUCGCGUACUUCGUUUGUGUUCAACGACCAGACAAAGGCGUCACAGAACCCCACCUUGAUCAAUAAAGCUUUCAUCUUAUAUUCGCAAUAUCCAGAUUGCAAUCUUAGUUUCUUGCUUGUUCUUCGUUUGCUCGCAAGAAACAGACCCUCGUGGUCAGGUUGAUCGUGCUCCGGCGUGGUCAAUAACCUCUCGGAGUUGGUUUAGCGAUUGCUAAGGCGCGACGUCCUCGCAUGUUCGUAGUCGGAUCGUCAAAGUCGACUUCCACCAAAGCGAUAUCCAUCAUCUCAUCGAAAGACGGGACACCUUUGCCUCUAUCAAGUGGUAUCAGAUUUCCAGGUUGCUCGGUGAGAUUUUACAGUUUUUCGUAGUUUAGAUCGAGUCUGUUCUUCAUACCUACAGUCCACGAAAAAGCCACAAAAAAAAUUAGGGUUAGUUCAUCAUAUCCGAACCAAUCUGAGCCUUUACAUAAUCUUUUUAGGGUUUUGCUUUGUUGAAUUUGCGGUUGCAUCGUCGUGUCUAGUUGCUGGUCUUAGAGUCUAGUCUUUUAGAGUUUCGAGUUCUGGUCAUAAGUUGUCACGCCACCGCCGCACCAUCAUCAUCGCCCCUGCCAUCUACCACCACCGCUUAUCCGCCACCGCUCCGAAUCCGUAUCCAUAUACCACCACCAGUCCGUGUCCAUAUACCACCACCGAUCCAUAUCCAUAUACUACUACCGCUACCACCACCGCUGCCAUAUACCACCACCAUAUAUCCACCACCAAUCCGAGUUCCUUGCAUAUUAGGUUUGUUUUCGAGAUCCAUCUAGAUUUCGAUUCGUGUUUCCUUGCCGGAGUCGGGUAGCCACGCUCCGUUUAGGCCCAAAAUUUUUCGAAAACGCAUUUUUCGAAAAAAUUUCUGGCUAUCCUAUUUUUAGGUGUUUCUGAGUGUUUUGAGACAGGUGCCAUUAUAGGAAGUUUUUUUUGACCCGUUUCCAAUUUUUGGGUCCGGGCAGUCGAAAAAAAAAAAUUUGGUCGAAAAAAAAAUUUCGUGCCCAUCCUGUCAGUUUGACCUAGGAAGAGUUUUGAGACACUCGCCAUUAUAGUGAUUUUUCGCAAAAAAAAAGCAGCGCAAAAAAAAAAGAGCGCAAAAAAAAAGAGCGAAAAAAAAAUUCAGAGUGUGCUUUUCCCUUGUUUACGUGUCGCGCCGUGAUUUUGUUGGUGUUCUAGGCUCGCGUCUCUAGCACAGUCUAGCCUAGGACCAGCACAGUACUGUCGUUGAGCGUUUAUUCAACUUUGCAUCUCUGAAUUGAUUAUUGCUGACCCUUUUUGCUACCAUACUAUAAGCCUUCCCAGCUCUACAUACAUCUACGUCGUGUGUUUGACUCUCCCUGGUACUCGCUCUAUCCAAGCUUUGAGAGUUUUUGACUACAACGGUUGCCGAUCACCGCCUGCUGCUGGGUAAGAACUGGUAAGAAUUUGAGAUUUGCUUGACGGAUUUGUGAUACACCACCACCACUUCUUAGUAGUCUGUAGGAUCAUAUUCUUGUGUGUUUCUAUUGCUGCUAACCAUGCCAGGAUCACAAGCCGACGAGAUUGACUGGGAGAACUUAUCGAACAAGGAGCUUCAUGAUAAGUUUCAGCAAAUGAUGACUGAACAGGUACAAGAUGUGCUGAACAAUUUUGAAGAGGCCAUGGAGAAGAUCACUGGCCUUGAGAAGACGUUCGAAACAAAGCUCGAUAACAGAUUUAAUGAACUGCUUGCGCGUCUUCCACCACCGGCUGCACCUGUCGUACCUCUGCAACAACAACAACUACGCCCCCUUCCGAAUCAGUAUGGACGAGCACAGCGUGUUCCUAUUGAGCUAGGACAAAAUUCUGGUGCCGCUGUUACUGCUGUUGGUGCUUCUUUGGCUCCUGCUACUGCUCCUGCUGGUACCCAGGAGGAUGAUGAGUAUGCGGGCGAUUAUGAGGAUGAGGUUGAUCAAAAUCAGAUCUACGAGCAGCCACCAGCACCACCACCAGCAGGUCGACCUCAGGUAUAUAUUCGUAAUGGUAGGCCUGCACCACCACCUCAGGUACGAGAUGAUGUCCAUAUUCCUAAACUGAAAUUGAAUAUUCCACCAUUUGAGGGUAGAUAUGUUCCUGAUAUAUAUCUUACUUGUGAGUUAGAAACUGAACAACGAUUUACAUGUUUACAAUAUCCUGAGGAGAGACGAGUUGCUGCUGCUGUUUGUGCUUUCACUAGUUUUGCAUGUGUAUGGUGGUCUGAACAUUGUAGAUUAUAUCCUACUCCAACUACUUGGGCUGCUUUGAAAACUGCUAUGCGUACGCGUUGGGUUCCACCAUAUUAUCAACGUGAAUUGCUUCAAAAAUUGCAGCGUUUAAGACAAGGGAAAAAUUCUGUAGAAGAAUAUUAUCAGGAAUUACAAACUGGCAUGAUUAGAUGUGGUAUUGUUGAGGAGAAUGAAGCUAUGCUUGCACGUUUUCUGGGUGGAUUAAAUAGAGAGAUUCAGACCAUUCUAGACUAUAAGGAGUAUACUAAUAUCACUCGUUUAUUCCAUCUUGCUUGUAAAGCUGAACAUGAAGUGCAGGAUCGACAAGCAUUGGCGCGAACUAACUUUUCUGCAGGCCGACCUUCAUCAUGGACACCGCGUGCAUCUUCUACUUCAACUGCACCAGCACCUCAAUCAGGUGCCUCCUACAGCCGUGAUACAAGAAAACAGGAACAACCACCAUUAUCUGCCAAGAGCGCACCUGCCGGGCCUGCACAGAGUUCUUCUUCUUCCAGGGCAUCAACAGGGCACACAAGUGAUAUUAUUUGUCGUCAUUGUAAGGGAGGAGGUCAUUAUGCGAGAGAAUGCAAAUCUCCGCGUGUGAUGAUUGCUACCGCGGAUGGUGGAUAUGAGUCCGCUAGUGACUAUGAUGAGGAGACAUUGGCUCUUAUUACACGUGAAGAACAUGGUGAUAGAGGCGGAGGUGUCCCGUUUUUCGAUGAGAUGAUGGAUAUCGCUUUGGUGGAAGUCGACUUUGACGAUCCGACUAUGAACGUGCGAGGACGUCGCGCCUUAGCAAUCGCUAAACCAACUCCGAGAGGUUAUUGACCACGCCGGAGCACGAUCAACCUGACCACGAGGGUCUGUUUCCUGCGAGCAAACGAAGAACAAGCAAGAAACUAAGAUUGCAAUCUGGAUAUUGCGAAUAUAAGAUGAAAGCUUUAUUGAUCAAGGUGGGGUUCUGUGACGCCUUUGUCUGGUCGUUGAACACAAACGAAGUACGCGAAGUUGCAGCUAUGGCGAACUUUUAAUCUAAACAAAACCCAAAGUCUAAACGAUGCCCUAAGGGCUGUAUAUAUGGAGGAAGAGGGGGGAAUUUCGUGGCCCUUGGUGGAGGGGUCCGAAAUCAACCCUAUCUCUUGUUUCCCCACACAUACGGACUCUAAAAAUAGCCUAUACUUAUGUAUUUCGAAAUUACAUGGGCCUGGCCCAAUAAUAAGGUGACGCAGCACCUAAAUUAGCCUCGGGACGAAAUUUAUGAAGUGGCAUCUUGUAUAUUUCGUCCAAGGCUUCAUGCACCCAUUAUGGUGGCUUCAAAGUCCUGAAAUCAUCACUGGUAACUCCGUUCUUGUUCCCCUUGCGCAUGCCAUCAUCUCCAUGCUUGUUCUUGCUCCAAUGUUCAUCCUUCUCCAAGCUAGGCCCUGGUAAUUUAGUUGGCGUGCACGAGCUCUAGUAAUUGGUCCAGUAUGUAUAGCAGCAGGGGCUGUGGGUGUAACAAUUGUAUUGAUGUCCUCAUCAUCCUCCCCUUCUUGAAAUGAAGUCGUCCUCGACGGAAGUUCAUCUUCCUCACCCAAAUAAGGCUUCAAAUCUGCAAUGUUAAAAGUGGGACUAACCCCAAAAUCUGCAGGCAGCUCAAGUUUAUAUGCAUUAUCAUUUAUUUUCUCUAACACCUUAAAGGGACCAUCAGCACGUGGCAUUAACUUUGAUUUGCGCAAAUCAGGAAAUCUAUCCUUACGCAAAUGUAACCAAACAAGAUCUCCAGGUGCAAAUACAACAUGUUUUCUACCCUUAUCUCCAGCAAGUUUAUAUUUAGCAUUCAUGCGCUCAAUGUUUUCCUUAGUUAACUCAUGCAUUUUUAAAAUCAAUUCAGCACGUUGUUUAGCAUCAAAAUUAACCUUCUCCGAAGAUGGAAGAGGCAACAAAUCAAUAGGUGCACGAGGUAGGAAACCAUACACAACUUCAAAAGGGCACAUCUUAGUAGUAGAAUGCAAUGAACGAUUAUAAGCAAAUUCAAUAUGAGGCAAGCAUUCCUCCCACAUUUUCUUAUUAUUCUUCAAAACAGCCCUAAGCAUAGUAGACAACGUUCUAUUGACUACUUCAGUUUGUCCAUCAGUUUGGGGGUGACAAGUAGUACUAAAAAGCAGUUUAGUCCCCAACUUAGCUGAUGAGGACAUCAAUACAAUUGUUACACCCACAGCCCCUGCUGCUAUACAUACUGGACCAAUUACUAGAGCCCGUGCACGCCAACUAAAUUACCAGGUACUUUCGUUUCUUGGUAAUGAUUCUAAUGUUCAUGAGAAUAUGAUGCUGCCUAAAUUGGAUACAUUUGUUUUGCUUACAAAUGAAGGGCCUAGCUUGGAGAAGGAUGAACAUUGGAGCAAGAACAAGCAUGGAGAUGAUGGCAUGCGCAAGGGGAACAAGAACGGAGUUACAAGUGAUGAUUUCAGGACUUUGAAGCCACCAUAAUGGGUGCAUGAAGCCUUGGACGAAAUAUACAAGAUGCCACUUCAUAAAUUUCGUCCCGAGGCUAUUUUAGGUGCUGCGUCACCUUAUUAUUGGGCCAGGCCCAUGUAAUUUCGAAAGACAUAAGUAUAGGCUAUUUUUAGAGUCCGUAUGUGUGGGGAAACAAGAGAUAGGGUUGAUUUCGGACCCCUCCACCAAGGGCCACGAAAUUCCCCCCUCUUCCUCCAUAUAUACAGCCCUUAGGGCAUCGUUUAGACUUUGGGUUUUGUUUAGAUUAAAAGUUCGCCAUAGCUGCAACUUCGCGUACUUCGUUUGUGUUCAACGACCAGACAAAGGCGUCACAGAACCCCACCUUGAUCAAUAAAGCUUUCAUCUUAUAUUCGCAAUAUCCAGAUUGCAAUCUUAGUUUCUUGCUUGUUCUUCGUUUGCUCGCAGGAAACAGACCCUCGUGGUCAGGUUGAUCGUGCUCCGGCGUGGUCAAUAACCUCUCGGAGUUGGUUUAGCGAUUGCUAAGGCGCGACGUCCUCGCACGUUCGUAGUCGGAUCGUCAAAGUCGACUUCCACCAAAGCGAAAUCCACCAUCUCAUCGAAAGACGGGACACCUCCGCCUCUAUCAAUCUUACUUGGGAGUUAGAAACUGAACAACGAUUUACAUGUUUACAAUAUCCUGAGGAGAGACGAGUUGCUGCUGCCGUUUGUGCUUUCACUAGUUUUGCAUGUGUAUGGUGGUCUGAACAUUGUAGAUUAUAUCCUAUUCCAACUACUUGGGCUGCUUUGAAAACUGCUAUGCGUACGCGUUGGGUUCCACCAUAUUAUCAACGUGAAUUGCUUCAAAAAUUGCAGCGUUUAAGACAAGGGAAAAAUUCUGUAGAAGAAUAUUAUCAGGAAUUACAAACUGGCAUGAUUAGAUGUGGUAUUGUUGAGGAGAAUGAAGCUAUGCUUGCACGUUUUCUGGGUGGAUUAAAUAGAGAGAUUCAGACCAUUCUAGACUAUAAGGAGUAUACUAAUAUCACUCGUUUAUUCCAUCUUGCUUGUAAAGCUGAACGUGAAGUGCAGGAUCGACAAGCAUUGGGGCGAACUAACUUUUCUGCAGGCCGGCCUUCAUCAUGGACACCACGUGCAUCUUCUACUUCAACUGCACCAGCACCUCCAUCCGGUGCCACCUCCAGCCGUGAUACAAGAAAACAGGCACAACCACCAUUAACUGCCAAGAGCGCACCUGCGGGGCCUGCACAGCGUUCUUCUUCUUCCAUGGCAUCAACAGGGCACACAAGUGAUAUUAUUUGUCGUCGUUGUAAGGGAGGAGGUCAUUAUGCGAGGGAAUGCAAAUCUCCGCAUGUGAUGGUUGCUACUGCGGAUGGUGGAUAUGAGUCCGCUAGUGACUAUGAUGAGGAGACAUUGGCUCUUAUUACACGUGAAGAACAUGGUGGAGAUGAUUCUGAUCAUGAGACGCAAUACAUGGCUCCUGAAGACGCUGACAGGUAUGAAUGUUUAGUUGCUCAACGUGUUUUGAGUGUGCAGGUCACACAAGCUGAGCAAAAUUAGAGGCACAAUUUGUUCCAUACCAAGGGAGUUGUGAAGGAACGUUCUGUGCGCGUCAUAAUAGACGGAGGGAGCUGCAACAACUUGGCUAGCAUGGAGAUGGUGGAGAAGCUUUCUCUCACCACAAGACCACAUCCACAUCCUUACUACAUCCAAUGGUUCAACAACAGCGGCAAGGUUAAGGUAACACGUACUGUUCGUGUGCAUUUUAGUAUCUCUACAUAUGCUGAUUAUGUUGAUUGUGAUGUGGUACCUAUGCAAGCAUGUUCCUUAUUACUUGGUAGACCAUGGCAAUUUGAUAAAAUCUGUACACCAUGGUAGAAACAAUCACUAUACUCUUGUUCAUAAGGAUAAAAAUAUUACUUUGCUUCCUAUGACUCCUGAUUCCAUUUUGAAAGAUGAUAUUAAUAGAGCUAAUAAAGCACAACAGGAGAAGAAUAAGAGUGAAAAUCAGAUUGUGGCAAAAGAAUUUGAGCAACAAAUGAAGCCUAAUAAUAAACAAUCUAGUGUUGCUUCUGAAAUUAAAUUGAAAAGUGCAUGUUUAUUUGCCACCAAAUCUGAUAUUGAUGAGCUAGAUUUCAGCAAAUCUGUUUGCUAUGCUUUUGUGUGCAAAGAGGCAUUAUUUUCAUUCGAGGACGUGCCUUCCUCUUUGCCUCCUGCUGUCACUAACAUUUUGCAGGAGUUCGCUGACGUUUUUCCACAAGACGUGCCACCGGGAUUACCGCCAAUUCGAGGGAUUGAGCAUCAGAUUGACUUAAUUCCCGGUGCUUCACUGCCAAACCGUGCACCAUACCGUACCAAUCCAGAGGAGACGAAGGAGAUUAUGCGUCAAGUACAAGAGCUUCUCGACAAAGGUUAUAUACGCGAAUCCCUUAGUCCUUGUGCUGUUCCUAUUAUUCUAGUGCCGAAAAAGGAUGGUACAUCACGUAUGUGUGUUGAUUGUAGAGGCAUUAAUAAUAUUACUAUUCGUUAUCGUCAUCCUAUUCCUAGGCUAGAUGAUAUGCUUGAUGAAUUGAGUGGCUCUACAAUGUUCUCCAAAGUUGAUUUGCGUAGUGGUUACCAUCAAAUUCGUAUGAAAUUGGGAGAUGAAUGGAAAAUAGCAUUUAAAACUAAGUUUGGAUUAUAUGAGUGGUUAGUCAUGCCUUUUGGGUUAACUAAUGCACCUAGUACUUUCAUGAGAUUAAUGAACGAAGUUUUACGUGCUUUCAUUGGACGAUUUGUGGUAGUUUACUUUGAUGACAUAUUGAUUUAUAGCAGAUCUUUGGAAGAACAUUUGGAACAUUUACGUGCUGUUUUUAUUGCUCUACGUGAUGCACGUUUGUUUGGUAACCUUGGGAAGUGCACCUUUUGCACCGACCGAGUAUCUUUUCUUGGCUAUGUUGUUACUCCACAGGGAAUUGAAGUUGAUAAAGCCAAGAUUGAAGCUAUUGAGAGUUGGCCGCAGCCCAAAACGGUCACACAAGUGAGGAGUUUUCCUGGCCUCGCUGGAUUCUAUAGGCGUUUUGUGAGAGAUUUCAGCACCAUUGCUGCACCUCUCAAUGAGCUUACAAAGAAAGAUGUGCCUUUUCUUUGGGGUACUGCACAGGAAGAAGCCUUCACGGUAUUGAAAGAUAAGUUGACACAUGCUCCUUUACUCCAACUUCCUGAUUUUAAUAAGACUUUUGAGCUUGAAUGUGAUGCUAGUGGAAUUGGAUUAGGAGGUGUGUUAUUACAAGAUGGCAAACCUGUUGCAUACUUUUCUGAAAAAUUGAGUGGGCCUAGUCUGAAUUAUUCUACUUAUGAUAAAGAAUUAUAUGCUCUUGUUCGGACUUUAGAAACAUGGCAACAUUAUUUAUGGCCCAAAGAAUUUGUUAUACAUUCUGAUCAUGAAUCUUUGAAACAUAUUAGAAGUCAAGCUAAACUGAAUCGUAGACAUGCUAAAUGGGUUGAAUUCAUUGAGACUUUCCCUUAUGUCAUUAAACACAAGAAGGGAAAAGAAAAUGUUACUGCUGAUGCAUUGUCUCGUCGCUAUACUAUGCUUUCACUACUUGACUUCAAAAUAUUUGGUUUGGAGACCAUCAAAGAUCAAUAUGUGCAUGAUGCUGAUUUAAAAGAUGUAAUGCAGAAUUGUAAAGAAGGAAGAAUGUGGAACAAGUUUGUUGUUAACGAUGGAUUUGUGUUUCGUGCUAACAAGCUAUGCAUUCCAGCUAGCUCCGUUCGUCUUUUGUUGUUGCAGGAGGCGCAUGGAGGAGGAUUAAUGGGACACUUUAGCGUGAAGAAGACGGAGGACGUACUUGCUACACAUUUCUUUUGGCCAAAGAAGAGACGGGAUGUUGAGCGUUUUAUUGCUCGCUGCACUACAUGUCAAAAAGCUAAGUCACGACUCAAUCCUCAUGGUUUAUAUAUGCCUUUGCCUGUACCUAGUGUUCCUUGGGAGGAUAUAUCAAUGGACUUUGUUUUAGGUUUACCUCGAACAAAGAAGGGGAGGGAUAGCAUAUUUGUUGUCGUGGAUAGAUUCUCGAAAAUGGCACACUUUAUACCAUGUCAUAAAAGCGAUGAUGCUGUUAAUGUUGCUGAUUUGUUCUUUCGUGAAAUUAUUCGCUUGCAUGGUGUGCCAAAUACUAUUGUUUCAGAUCGUGAUACUAAAUUUCUUAGCCACUUUUGGAGAUGUUUAUGGGCUAAGUUGGGGACUAAACUGCUUUUUAGUACUACUUGUCACCCCCAAACUGAUGGACAAACUGAAGUAGUCAAUAGAACGUUAUCUACUAUGCUUAGGGCUGUUUUGAAGAAUAAUAAGAAAAUGUGGGAGGAAUGCUUGCCUCAUAUUGAAUUUGCUUAUAAUCGUUCAUUGCAUUCUACUACUAAGAUGUGCCCUUUUGAAGUUGUGUAUGGUUUCCUACCUCGUGCACCUAUUGAUUUGUUGCCUCUUCCAUCUUCGGAGAAGGUUAAUUUUGAUGCUAAACAACGUGCUGAAUUGAUUUUAAAAAUGCAUGAGUUAACUAAGGAAAACAUUGAGCGUAAGGAUAGAUUUCCUGAUUUGCGCAAAUCAAAGUUAAUGCCACGUGCUGAUGGUCCCUUUAAGGUGUUAGAGAAAAUAAAUGAUAAUGCAUAUAAACUUGAGCUGCCUGCAAAUUUUGGGGUUAGUCCCACUUUUAACAUUGCAGAUUUGAAGCCUUAUUUGGGUGAGGAAGAUGAACUUCCGUCGAGGACGACUUCAUUUCAAGAAGGGGAGGAUGAUGAGGACAUCAAUACAAUUGUUACACCCACAGCCCCUGCUGCUAUACAUACUGGACCAAUUACUAGAGCUCGUGCACGCCAACUAAAUUACCAGGUACUUUCGUUUCUUGGUAAUGAUUCUAAUGUUCAUGAGAAUAUGAUGCUGCCUAAAUUGGAUACAUUUGUUUUGCUUACAAAUGAAGGGCCUAGCUUGGAGAAGGAUGAACAUUGGAGCAAGAACAAGCAUGGAGAUGAUGGCAUGCGCAAGGGGAACAAGAACGGAGUUACCAGUGAUGAUUUCAAGACUCUGAAGCCACCAUAAUGGGUGCAUGAAGCCUUGGACGAAAUAUACAAGAUGCCACUUCAUAAAUUUCGUCCCGAGGCUAUUUUAGGUGCUGCGUCACCUUAUUAUUGGGCCAGGCCCAUGUAAUUUCGAAAUACAUAAGUAUAGGCUAUUUUUAGAGUCCGUAUGUGUGGGGAAACAAGAGAUAGGGUUGAUUUCGGACUCCUCCACCAAGGGCCACGAAAUUCCCCCCCUCUUCCUCCAUAUAUACAGCCCUUAGGGCAUCGUUUAGUCUUUGGGUUUUGUUUAGAUUAAAAGUUCGCCAUAGCUGCAACUUCGCGUACUUCGUUUGUGUUCAACGACCAGACAAAGGCGUCACAGAACCCCACCUUGAUCAAUAAAGCUUUCAUCUUAUAUUCGCAAUAUCCAGAUUGCAAUCUUAGUUUCUUGCUUGUUCUUCGUUUGCUCGCAGGAAACAGACCCUCGUGGUCAGGUUGAUCGUGCUCCGGCGUGGUCAAUAACCUCUCGGAGUUGGUUUAGCGAUUGCUAAGGCGCGACGUCCUCGCACGUUCGUAGUCGGAUCGUCAAAGUCGACUUCCACCAAAGCGAAAUCCACCAUCUCAUCGAAAGACGGGACACCUUUGCCUCUAUCACCUUGUGCUGUUCCUAUUAUUCUAGUGCCGAAAAAGGAUGGUACAUCACGUAUGUGUGUUGAUUGUAGAGGCAUUAAUAAUAUUACUAUUCGUUAUCGUCAUCCUAUUCCUAGGCUAGAUGAUAUGCUUGAUGAAUUGAGUGGUUCUACAAUAUUCUCCAAAGUUGAUUUGCGUAGUGGCUACCAUCAAAUUCGUAUGAAAUUGGGAGAUGAAUGGAAAACAGCAUUUAAAACUAAGUUUGGAUUAUAUGAGUGGUUAGUCAUGCCUUUUGGGUUAACUAAUGCACCUAGUACUUUCAUGAGAUUAAUGAACGAAGUUUUACGUGCUUUCAUUGGACGAUUUGUGGUAGUUUACUUUGAUGACAUACUGAUUUAUAGCAGAUCUUUGGAAGAACAUUUGGAACAUUUACGUGCUGUUUUUAUUGCUCUACGUGAUGCACGUUUGUUUGGUAACCUUGGGAAGUGCACCUUUUGCACCGAUCGAGUAUCUUUUCUUGGCUAUGUUGUUACUCCACAGGGAAUUGAAGUUGACAAAGCCAAGAUUGAAGCUAUUGAGAGUUGGCCGCAGCCCAAAACGGUCACACAAGUGAGGAGUUUUCUUGGCCUCGCUGGAUUCUAUAGGCGUUUUGUGAGAGAUUUCAGCACCAUUGCUGCACCUCUCAAUGAGCUUACAAAGAAAGAUGUGCCUUUUCUUUGGGGUACCGCACAGGAAGAAGCCUUCACAGUAUUGAAAGAUAAGUUGACACAUGCUCCUUUACUCCAACUUCCUGAUUUUAAUAAGACUUUUGAGCUUGAAUGUGAUGCUAGUGGAAUUGGAUUAGGAGGUGUGUUAUUACAAGAUGGCAAACCUGUUGCAUACUUUUCUGAAAAAUUGAGUGGGCCUAGUCUGAAUUAUUCUACUUAUGAUAAAGAAUUAUAUGCUCUUGUUCGGACUUUAGAAACAUGGCAACAUUAUUUAUGGCCCAAAGAAUUUGUUAUACAUUCUGAUCAUGAAUCUUUGAAACAUAUUAAAAGUCAAGCUAAACUGAAUCAUAGACAUGCUAAAUGGGUUAAAUUCAUUGAGACUUUCCCUUAUGUCAUUAAACACAAGAAGGGAAAAGAAAAUGUUAUUGCUGAUGCAUUGUCUCGUCGCUAUACUAUGCUUUCACAACUUGACUUCAAAAUAUUUGGUUUGGAGACCAUCAAAGAUCAAUAUGUGCAUGAUGCUGAUUUUAAAGAUGUAAUGCAGAAUUGUAAAGAAGGAAGAAUGUGGAACAAGUUUGUCGUUAACGAUGGAUUUGUGUUUCGUGCUAACAAGCUAUGCAUUCCAGCUAGCUCCGUUCGUCUUUUGUUGUUGCAGGAGGCGCAUGGAGGAGGAUUAAUGGGACACUUUGGCGUGAAGAAGACGGAGGACGUACUUGCUACACAUUUCUUUUGGCCAAAGAUGAGACGGGAUGUUGAGCGUUUUAUUGCUCGAUGCACUACAUGUCAAAAAGCUAAGUCACGACUCAAUCCUCAUGGUUUAUAUAUGCCUUUGCCUGUACCUAGUGUUCCUUGGGAGGAUAUAUCUAUGGACUUUGUUUUAGGUUUACCUCGAACAAAGAAGGGGAGGGAUAGCAUAUUUGUUGUCGUGGAUAGAUUCUCGAAAAUGGCACACUUUAUACCAUGUCAUAAAAGCGAUGAUGCUGUUAAUGUUGGUGAUUUGUUCUUUCGUGAAAUUAUUCGCUUGCAUGGUGUGCCAAAUACUAUUGUUUCAGAUCGUGAUACUAAAUUUCUUAGCCACUUUUGGAGAUGUUUAUGGGCUAAGUUGGGUGAUAGAGGCGGGGUGUCCCGAUCUUUCGAUGAGAUGAUAACUACCGAUUUGGUGGAGACGACUUUGACGAUCCGACUACAAACGUGCACGACGUUGCGCCUUAGCAAUCGCUAAACCAACUCCGAGAGGUUAUUGACCACGCUGGAGCACGAUCAACCUGACCACGAAGGUCUAUUCCUGCAAGCAAUCGAAGAACAAGCAAGAAUAUGGUAAAGCAAUCUGAAUAUUGCAAAUAUAUAUGAAGUAUUGAUAAUGGUGGGGAUCCGUAGGCGGUCUUGGUCUGGUCGUUGGACACAAACGAAGUACACGAAGUUGCAAUGGCUAACUUUUAACUAAACAAAUCCCAAGGAAAAGCUACUAGAUGGAUCUACUUAUAUAGGAGCAAGGGGUGGCGGCCAAGGAGGUGGGAGGACGUCCCAAGGCAGCCUAAAACUAAAUCUAGGUCGUACAAGGCCAAUGGGCCCAAGUGGAGGUGAUGUAACACCUUUGGACUUGUAGUUUGACUCGGAUUCUGCUGCAGCAUCAGAUUGUUUCGUCCACAACUCAACGCUCCGGACGAAUUUGAAGGUGAUUCCAAUUGGGUUGGAAAAGUGCACGAAAUCUAGUUUCCAACAAAAAAAGAAUCACCCAAUUCAGAGUCCGUAUGAAAAACUUGUGUGCGUUUUGAGUCAGGUAUGUCUGUGCAGUCCGAACCUGAAUCCAGAACGUAAGAGACUUGGACUCUAUCUUCUCUUGGGCCAAAAGUGACGUGAGAGAACUUUUUGGACAGCAAAUAAACAUCUCUUUCUUCCUUAUCUUCAUAUGUGGAUUGUACAAAUGUCCCAUACACCUGCAAUUAGACAAAACACAAAAGUGUGUGAAGUAUUUUUGUUCUGGAUAACAUAAAUAGAUUAUUGAAUAGUUUGCACUAGAAAUCACCUGACAAAUAUGCAUAUAUGCAAUAUUUUUGGUCAUAUCCAAGGUAGUCAUGUCCUCAUCAUCCUCCCCUUCUUGAAAAUAAAGCCGUCCUCGGCGUUGCUUAAUCUGAAAUGUGGCUAACAAAAGAGACAAGGUGUACAUGUUGUAUAUGUAUAUGUCAUCCAUUUUUACUUCCCUUGAUUUUUGCAUAUAUGACACAUGAAUAGAUGAGUAACUUGCAUAGUUCAUAAAAUCUAAAGCCAAAAAAUUAGCACAAGAAGUAGAAGGCAUGAAAAUAUUGCAACUCAGUUUGCACGUAUAAGUGAAGCUCUUAUUCAUUUCAAAAGAUUGACAAUGUUCAUCAUUAAACCAUCCCAAUAUUGGUGAAUAAACCUUACUUGCAUCAAAUUUACAUGCUACAACAUGCUUAAAUAAGCAAACAUGCAAUAAGUCAUUCAACACAGAAUCAUCACCAAGAUUAGAGGUCAUAUCAAAAUGAUUAAACAUUGGUUCUUUUGCAUCAAUAGUUAAUUCAAUGGGUGCACUCAAAAUUGUUGGUAUUUCAGUUGUUUGAUCACAUGGCAAAGUCAAAUUAUCAACGUAGUCCUCUAAAAUAGGUGGUGUGAUCAAAGUAGUGGGUAGCUCAUCAGAUGGUGCAUUCAAAUUGACAAGGCAUUCAUCAUUCUCAUGUAGAGAUGGAAGAUCAGUACCUUUGUCAUUACCUCUUAUGAUCAACUCAGAUGAUGUAGCCACUCUCGGGGGGGAUGUGUCACAUGGUGGAGGUGAUGUAGUCCUGACAACAACGGAUGUGGUUGUCAUAGUAUGCCUAGUAGUUGAAGGAACAAUCAUAUCAACUCUUGGAAUGUGCACCGUGCGCUUGUUCUCCUCGUGGCCAACACGUCGUUUUAUUUCCUGUUCAGCUUUGCAAGCAAGAUGAAACAAAUGGUCCAUAGGAUAACACUCUUCAUGAAUUAGUAUCUCUUGAAUAUCACGGUUUAAUCCUCCCCAAAAUCUAUCCAUAAAAUCAUCUUCACUUUCUUCUAAAGAGGAAUGCAACAAGGUAGUUUGUAAAUCAUCAUAAUAUUUUGUUACAGUUUCACUACCUUGCUUUAAGUGUUGCAACUUCUUAAUCAUGUCACGAGUAUAAUAAGCAGGGACGAAAGUAUGUCGCAUGGCAAGUUUCAAAUCAUCCCAAGUAGUAGGUAUAUAAUCAGGGUGUAACCGACAAUAUUCACUCCACCAAACCAAAGCAUAACCAGUGAAAGAACCAACCGCAACCUUAACCUUUUUAUGUUCAUCGAAAUUAUGGGAAGCAAAUAUAUUUUUUAUGUCGAACUCCCAUUCAAUAUAUAAAGCAGGUUUAAAACGGCCAUUAAAUGGUGGUAUAGAUACAUUAACCUGAUCAUGUGCAUUUGGAUGUUUGUGCACCUCUCGUGACGGUUGUGGUAUUUGCAAAGGUGGUGGCACGUCUCCCGCGAUCGACAAAGCCCAUGAAUUGACUGUGGAUCCUGUCAUGAUUAGUAGAACAAGAAACAAAACCCAAAAAUAUUGUUCCUUCAACUACUAGGCAUACUAUGACAACCACAUCCGUUGUUGUCAGGACUACAUCACCUCCACCAUGUGACACAUCGCCCCCGAGAGUGGCUACAUCAUCUGAGUUGAUCAUAAGAGGUAAUGACAAAGGUACUGAUCUUCCAUCUCUACAUGAGAAUGAUGAAUGCCUUGUCAAUUUGAAUGCACCAUCUGAUGAGCUACCCACUACUUUGAUCACACCACCUAUUUUAGAGGACUACGUUGAUAAUUUGACUUUGCCAUGUGAUCAAACAACUGAAAUACCAACAAUUUUGAGUGCACCCAUUGAAUUAACUAUUGAUGCAAAAGAACCAAUGUUUAAUCAUUUUGAUAUGACCUCUAAUCUUGGUGAUGAUUCUGUGUUGAAUGACUUAUUGCAUGUUUGCUUAUUUAAGCAUGUUGUAGCAUGUAAAUUUGAUGCAAGUAAGGUUUAUUCACCAAUAUUGGGAUGGUUUAAUGAUGAACAUUGUCAAUCUUUUGAAAUGAAUAAGAGCUUCACUUAUACGUGCAAACUGAGUUGCAAUAUUUUCAUGCCUUCUACUUCUUGUGCUAAUUUUUUGGCUUUAGAUUUUAUGAACUAUGCAAGUUACUCAUCUAUUCAUGUGUCAUAUAUGCAAAAAUCAAGGGAAGUAAAAAUGGAUGACAUAUACAUAUACAACAUGUACACCUUGUCUCUUUUGUUAGCCACAUUUCAGAUUAAGCAACGCCGAGGACGGCUUUAUUUUCAAGAAGGGGAGGAUGAUGAGGACAUGACUACCUUGGAUAUGACCAAAAAUAUUGCAUAUAUGCAUAUUUGUCAGGUGAUUUCUAGUGCAAACUAUUCAAUAAUCUAUUUAUGUUAUCCAGAACAAAAAUACUUCACACACUUUUGUGUUUUGUCUAAUUGCAGGUGUAUGGGACAUUUGUACAAUCCACAUAUGAAGAUAAGGAAGAAAGAGAUGUUUAUUUGCUGUCCAAAAAGUUCUCUCACGUCACUUUUGGCCCAAGAGAAGAUAGAGUCCAAGUCUCUCACGUUCUGGAUUCAGAUUCGGACUGCACAGACAUACCUGACUCAAAACGCACACAAGUUUUUCAUACGGACUCCGAAUUGGGUGAUUCUUUUUUUGUUGGAAACUAGAUUUCGUGCACUUUCCCAACCAAUUGGAAUCACCUUCAAAUUCGUCCGGAGCGUUGAGUUGUGGACGAAACAAUCUGAUGCUGCAGCAGAAUCCGAGUCAAACUACAAGUCCAAAGGUGUUACAUCACCUCCACUUGGGCCCAUUGGCCUUGUACGACCUAGAUUUAGUUUUAGGCUGCCUUGGGACGUCCUCCCACCUCCUUGGCCGCCACCCCUUGCUCCUAUAUAAGUAGAUCCAUCUAGUAGCUUUUCCUUGGGAUUUGUUUAGUUAAAAGUUAGCCAUUGCAACUUCGUGUACUUCGUUUGUGUCCAACGACCAGACCAAGACCGCUUACGGAUCCCCACCAUUAUCAAUACCUCAUAUAUAUUUGCAAUAUUCAGAUUGCUUUAUCAUAUUCUUGCUCGUUCUUCGAUUGCUUGCAGGAAUAGACCUUCGUGGUCAGGCUGACCGUGCUUCCGGCAUCGUCAGUAACCUCAGGAGAUUGGUUUAGCGAUUGCUAAGGCGCAACGUCGUGCACGUUUGUAGUCGGAUUGUCAAAGUCGUCUCCACCAAAUCGAUAGUUAUCAUCUCAUCGAAAGAUCGGGACCCUCGCCUCUAUCAUCAUGUCCUCAUCAUCCUCCCCUUCUUGAAAAUAAAGCCGUCCUCGGCGUUGCUUAAUCUGAAAUGUGGCUAACAAAAGAGACAAGGUGUACAUGUUGUAUAUGUAUAUGUCAUCCAUUUUUACUUCCCUUAAUUUUUGCAUAUAUGACACAUGAAUAGAUGAGUAACUUGCAUAGUUCAUAAAAUCUAAAGCCAAAAAAUUAGCACAAGAAGUAGAAGGCAUGAAAAUAUUGCAACUCAGUUUGCACAUAUAAGUGAAGCUCUUAUUCAUUUCAAAAGAUUGACAAUGUUCAUCAUUAAACCAUCCCAACAUUGGUGAAUAAACCUUACUUGCAUCAAAUUUACAUGCUACAACAUGCUUAAAUAAGCAAACAUGCAAUAAGUCAUUCAACACAGAAUCAUCACCAAGAUUAGAGGUCAUAUCAAAAUGAUUAAACAUUGGUUCUUUUGCAUCAAUAGUUAAUUCAAUGUGUGCACUCAAAAUUGUUGGUAUUUCAGUUGUUUGAUCACAUGGCAAAGUCAAAUUAUCAACGUAGUCCUCUAAAAUAGGUGGUGUGAUCAAAGUAGUGGGUAGCUCAUCAGAUGGUGCAUUCAAAUUGACAAAGCAUUCAUCAUUCUCAUGUAGAGAUGGAAGAUCAGUACCUUUGUCAUUACCUCUUAUGAUCAACUCAGAUGAUGUAGCCACUCUCGGGGGCGAUGUGUCACAUGGUGGAGGUGAUGUAGUCCUGACAACAACGGAUGUGGUUGUCAUAGUAUGCCUAGUAGUGGAAGGAACAAUCAUAUCAACUCUUGGAAUGUGCACCGUGCGCUUGUUCUCGUGGCCAACACGUCGUUUUAUUUCCUGUUCAGCUUUGCAAGCAAGAUGAAACAAAUGGUCCAUAGGAUAACACUCUUCAUGAAUUAGUAUCUCUUGAAUAUCACGGUUUAAUCCUCCCCAAAAUCUAUCCAUAAAAUCAUCUUCACUUUCUUCUAAAGAGGAAUGCAACAAGGUAGUUUGUAAAUCAUCAUAAUAUUUUGUUACAGUUUCACUACCUUGUUUUAAGUGUUGCAACUUCUUAAUCAUGUCACGAGUAUAAUAAGCAGGGACGAAAGUAUGUCGCAUGGCAAGUUUCAAAUCAUCCCAAGUAGUAGGUAUAUAAUCAGGGUGUAACCGACAAUAUUCACUCCACCAAACCAAAGCAUAACCAGUGAAAGAACCAACCGCAACCUGAACCUUUUUAUGUUCAUCGAAAUUAUGGGAAGCAAAUAUAUUUUUUAUGUCGAACUCCCAUUCAAUAUAUAAAGCAGGUCUAAAACGGCCAUUAAAUGGUGGUAUAGAUACAUUAACCUGAUCAUGUGCAUUUGGAUGUUUGUGCACCUCUCGUGACGGUUGUGGUAUUUGCAUAGGUGGUGGCAUGUCUCCCGCGAUCGACAAAGCCCAUGAAUUGACUCUGGAUCCUGUCAUGAUUAGUAGAACAAGAAACAAAAUCCAAAAAUAAUAUUCCUAUAACUACUAGGAUGUGGUGGUAAAACGCUCACAGUAAAGCAAAUAUCAAUGUCUUACAAGUUCUUACCAUGCAGCAGGCGGUGAUCGGCAACCAGCGGUGUCAAGUAACUCCGAAUAUUGAGUGAAGCGAUUGCCAAGGGAGCGUACGUAUACACGGUGUAGAAAUAUGUGGAGCUAGGUUGGCUAUAUAUGGUAGCAAAAGAUUAGCAAUAAUCAAUUCAAAGAUGUAAUGUUGAAUAAACGCUCAACGACGGUACUGUGCUGGUCCUAGGCUAGACCGGACUAGAGACGCGAGCCUAGAACACUAAUGAGGUCACGGCGUAGCACAACUAGCAUCAAUGAAGGAUACUAAGUAGCUCUUGACAGCAAGAUAUAAGUGAAGAUCACAACGGCAGUGAAGAUAAUGAUGAAAAACAACUGCCAAGCAGGAUAUACAACAACUCUCUCUCCAAAUUUCCUCUUGAAAAGUUUGAGACAAUUUUCUGAUAAAUUCUUUCAAAGAAUGCUACUAACUCAAGCUUUCCAAUGCAAAAAGAUUCACUCAAUUCCGAGUUGAUAUGAGGAGUCAAACAAUUCUAAAACUGGCCUGAAAAAUUGGAACAAGCUGUGUUCACGAACUUCAGAGGGCAAAAAGACCUAUUUAGAAGCCGAUUUUGAGGUGUCAAAUAUUGAACUAGCUUCUGCAACUAUUUAGAUGCGGCUCGUCGCUAGCUUCAAUUUGAGUACUCACGGAGCCAAAACGGACUUCGUAUGAGGAAGAUACACCUGUUUUACUAAACAGUGCGCAAAACAGAUUCCAAUCCGAAUUCAACUACGAGAUUGAGUCUAGAUAGAUCCGAAUUUUGUUUUUUUUUCUGCUCUCUUUUUUUUUCUCACACUUUUUUUUCUUUUUCUUCUCUCUCUUUUUCUUUUUUUUUCUUUCCUUUUUUCUCUUUUUUUUUCUGUAUCUUUUUUUUUCUUUCCAAGACAAACUAGAUAAGAUGCAGAUUGGAUCAGGCGAAGAUGUGAAUGACCUCAACUAUGAUUAUGACAAUGAAAAGUGCGUAGCACGUGGUGGAAAUUAAUAGAUGGGAUGGUGGACAGCGGAAGGGAUAAUGAUGCAGCAGCGGCGUGACUAAUGUGAACAGAACUUGAAACUCUAAAGGAACUAGACGCUAAGACCAGCAACUUACACGACGAUGCAACCGAUAAUUCAACUAUGCAAGCAAUGAAUAGAAAAUUGCAAAGGCUCAGACUGGCUUGGAUAAAGGAUGAACAGAUCUAACUUUUUUUUGUGUGGCUUUUUCUUGGAUAAUAGGUAAGAAAAUAAAUCUAAUCUAGGAAAACUGGAAAUUCUCACCGAGUAACCUGAAAACUAAUACCACUUGAUAGAGGCGGGGUGUCCCGAUCUUUCGAUGAGAUGAUAACUAUCGAUUUGGUGGAGACGACUUUGACGAUCCGACUACAAACGUGCACGACGUUGCGCCUUAGCAAUCGCUAAACCAAUCUCCUGAGGUUACUGAUGAUGCCGGAAGCACGGUCAGCCUGACCACGAAGGUCUAUUCCUGCAAGCAAUCGAAGAACGAGUAAGAAUAUGAUAAAGCAAUCUGAAUAUUGUAAAUAUAUAUGAGGUAUUGAUAAUGGUGGGGAUCCGUAAGCGGUCUUCGUCUGGUCGUUGGACACAAACGAAGUACACGAAGUUGCAAUGGCUAACUUUUAACUAAACAAAUCCCAAGGAAAAGCUACUAGAUGGAUCUACUUAUAUAGGAGCAAGGGGUGGCGGCCAAGGAGGUGGGAGGACGUCCCAAGGCAGCCUAAAACUAAAUCUAGGUCGUACAAGGCCAAUGGGCCUAAGUGGAGGUGAUGUAACACCUUUGGACUUGUAGUUUGACUCGGAUUCUGCUGCAGCAUCAGAUUGUUUCGUCCACAACUCAACGCUCCGGACGAAUUUGAAGGUGAUUCCAAUUGGGUUGGAAAGUGCACGAAAUCUAGUUUCCAACAAAGAAAGAAUCACCCAAUUCGGAGUCCGUAUGAAAAACUUGUGUGCGUUUUAAGUCAGGUGUGUCUGUGCAGUCCGAAUCUGAAUCCAGAACGUGAGAGACUUGGACUCUAUCUUCUCUUUGGCCAAAAGUGACGUGAGAGAACUUUUUGGACAGCAAAUAAACAUCUCUUUCUUCCUUAUCUUCAUAUGUGGAUUGUACAAAUGUCCCAUACACCUGCAAUUAGACAAAACACAAAAGUGUGUGAAGUAUUUUUGUUCUGGAUAACAUAAAUAGAUUAUUGAAUAGUUUGCACUAGAAAUCACCUGACAAAUAUGCAUAUAUGCAAUAUUUUUGGUCAUAUCCAAGGUAGUCAUGUCCUCAUCAAUUUGUGGUAGUUUACUUUGAUGACAUAUUGAUUUAUAGCAGAUCUUUGGAAGAACAUUUGGAACAUUUACGUGCUGUUUUUAUUGCUCUACGUGAUGCACAUUUGUUUGGUAACCUUGGGAAGUGCACCUUUUGCACCGACCGAGUAUCUUUUCUUGGCUAUGUUGUUACUCCACAGGGAAUUGAAGUUGAUAAAGCCAAGAUUGAAGCUAUUGAGAGUUGGCCGCAACCCAAAACGGUCACACAAGUGAGGAGUUUUCUUGGCCUCGCUGGAUUCUAUAGGCGUUUUGUGAGAGAUUUCAGCACCAUUGCUGCACCUCUCAAUGAGCUUACAAAGAAAGAUGUGCCUUUUCUUUGGGGUACCGCACAGGAAGAAGCCUUCUCGGUAUUGAAAGAUAAGUUGACACAUGCUCCUUUAAUCCAACUUCCUGAUUUUAAUAAGACUUUUGAGCUUGAAUGUGAUGCUAGUGGAAUUGGAUUAGGCGGUGUUUUAUUACAAGAUGGCUUACGGAUCCCCACCAUUAUCAAUACCUCAUAUAUAUUUGCAAUAUUCAGAUUGCUUUAUCAUAUUCUUGCUCGUUCUUCGAUUGCUUGCAGGAAUAGACCUUCGUGGUCAGGCUGACCGUGCUUCCGGCAUCGUCAGUAACCUCAGGAGAUUGGUUUAGCGAUUGCUAAGGCGCAACGUCGUGCACGUUUGUAGUCGGAUCGUCAAAGUCGUCUCCACCAAAUCGAUAGUUAUCAUCUCAUCGAAAGAUCGGGACACCCCGCCUCUAUCAAGUGGUAUCAGUUUUCAGGUUGCUCGGUGAGAAUUUCCAGUUUUUCCUAGAUUAGAUUUAUUUUCUUACCUAUUGUCCAAAAAAAGCCACAAAACAAAAGUUAGAUCUAUUCAUCCUUUGUCCUAGCCAGACUGAGCCUUUGCAAUUUUCUUUUCAUUGUUUGCAUUAUUGAAUUAUCGGUUGCAUCGCCGUGUCAAGUUGCUGGUCUUAGUGUCUAGUUCCUUUAGAGUUUCGAGUUCUGUUCACAUUAGUCACGCAGCCGCUGCAUCAUUAUGCCAUCCGCUGUCCACCAUCCCAUCCACCAAUUUCCACCAUGUGCUACACACUGUUUAUUGUCAUAAUCAUAGUUGAGGUCACUCACAUCUUCGCCUGAUCGAAUCUGCAUCUUAUCUAGUUUGUCUUGGAAAGAGGGAGAAAAAGAAGAUAAAGAAAAAAAAGAGAGAAAAAAGGAAAGAAAAAAA
rnacentral:lncRNA from 1 species